AAGCGGGAGGACCUCGUUGGCAAUGCCAACUACUUUGACAAAAAAGGCAUUCCUUUGGUGCUGGACUGGGCUAUCAGGAGUAACGGGUCUUCAUGCCCGCACGAGUCUGGCAAGAUGGCAAACCCGGUUGUGCCUUACGGUGCUUGCGUGAGCAGCCACAGCUACUGCGUCAACGUCACCAACAACGGACACGGGUACCUCUGUAAUUGCUCCGAUGGAUAUCAUGGCAAUCCUUAUCUCCCCGAAGGAUGCAUAGGUACGUUCAUAUCUUAGUCUUAACUAUUUAAAAAGAGCAAUUUUACGGUCCUUUAGAAGGUACCAUGAAGUACCAUUUUUUCUAUUGUAAAUUUGGUACCUCAUGAGGUACCAAAAUUUAUACCUCCUGAAGAACCGUAGAAUUGCUCAUUUAAAAAUGAACAAUUUUCCAAUCGUCGCAUACGAUUUUUGCCCGCCAUCCGUUUCCGAAAUCAUUGUUAAUUUGCAUGCACGCCUCGCCGGUCCCGGCCUCGGCCAAAGUCCGCGUGCCUGCUCCUUUGUCCCGAUCGGUGUGAAUUAUAGGAAACAAGAUCCUUUUUAUUUUGUAUUUGUAUCAUAUAUAGCAGAAAAUAAUAUAUCUUUUAAAUUGCUUAUGUUUAAUGUCCACACAUUUUCAACUAUACAGAUAUUAAUGAGUGUGAUCCAUCCACUUAUAAAGAGAAUCCUUGCCCUGGUGGGACAUGCCAUAACCUAGAAGGUGGCUACAAAUGUAAAUGCAACUUUGGGCGAAGAAAAGAUAGAAAAAACAACAAUUCCUGUCAACCAGUACUAUCCAAAUCAGCUACAGCGCUGAUCGGUAAGACACAUCCUAACUACUCUCCCCCCUCCCAAAUCAAAUAAACCUAUUACUCCUAUGAUAUGUGACACAUUCUAAUAUUAUGGAUCUCAAUAGACUUUAAUUACUAGAUUUAUUUGUUCUGAGACAAAGGACGUACAUAGUAUAAUGUAUAAAAGGUUACAUGUUACAUAUAGUUUUUUUACUCUAUUAAUUGUUAGUAACAUCUUAAUUAAUUAGAAACACCAUUUGUUUUCAGCAACAAUAUGUGCCAUCGCAAUUUCGUCCAUCGUACUCAUUUUCUUGCGCAUGGAAUAUGAGAAGAGGAAGCUUAGAGAUCAUUUCAACAAAAAUGGUGGUCAACUUCUCAAAAACAUAGGUAUUAAGAUAUUCACAAAGGAGGAGGUAGGCAAAAUCACAAACAAUUAUAGUAUCAUUCUUGGAAAGGGUGGCUUCGGUGAGGUGUACAAGGGAACUACUAAUGACAACCAGCAAGUUGCGGUGAAGCGCUCCAUUGCAGUUGAUGAUGAGGCACGCAAAAAGGAUUUUGCUAAUGAGGUUACAAUUCAAUCUCAAAUCAAUCAUAAGAACGUGGUUAGACUUGUGGGUUGUUGUUUGGAGACAAAUGUCCCAAUGCUGGUCUCCGCGUACAUACCAAAAGGAAGCCUGCACGAUGUGCUUCAUGGUAAUGGCAAUCACGUUGCAAAAUAUAAUCUCACAUUACAAGUACGUCUAGAAAUUGCUAUUGAAUCUGCAGAAGCUCUAGCUUACAUGCAUUCAUCUGCUAGUCAGAAGAUACUUCAUGGAGAUGUCAAGUCCAGCAACAUUCUCCUAGAUGAUGACUUCAAGCCAAAAGUCUCAGACUUUGGAAUAUCUAGACUCAUAUCUAUAGAGAAGAACCACACUAACUUCGUCGUAGGGGAUAUAAACUACAUAGAUCCUGUGUAUAUGAAAACAGGGAUACUUACAGAGAAGAGUGACGUGUAUAGCUUUGGGGUUGUGCUCUUAGAACUAAUCACAAGAAAAAAGGCAAGGUAUGAUGGAAACAAUAGCCUCCCAAUAAACUUUGUUAAAUCUUACAUGACGGAUAGCCAGGCAAGAGAGAUGCUCGAUGAUGAUAUCACGUCACCUGAAGUCAUGGACUGUCUUCACAUGAUUGGUAGGAUCGCAGUUCAAUCUUUGAAGGAAGACGUGGAUGAGAGGCCUACCAUGAAGCAUGUUUUGGAGCACCUUCAUUUGGUGAGAAAGGAAUGGAUGCAAAUUCAAGGGCAUAUGAGUUGUUAUCAAAGUUGAUGAUUAUUGCAUCACCACAACAACGCUUACGACAACAUAGUUGCCUUUCAGUGUGAAGCUAUAUAUUGCACUACUUUGCGCUGAUGGUAUACUUUGCAUUAUAAGAUGAAAUAAUUCUGUUUGUAAGAUUUAUAUAUUGUGUUGUUUUUAGAUGUUUAACUAAAGAUUUGUAUGUUGCUAUCACAGCUAAUAAUACGUUGAACUUUGUAAGUUCUUUUAACUAAGGUUUUGUACGUUGGUAUCAUAGCUAGUAAUAUGUUGAACUUUGUAAGUUCUUUUAACCAAGGUUUUGUACAUUGAUAUCGUAGCUAAAUAGCUAGGUGGCCCACGUAAUUGUACGGCUAGCACCUAUACAAAAUUUUCUAUCUUUUUGACAUGAUUGUCUUAAAAAUUUGUUAAAUAGCCCUCUCAUUGUCUUAUGAUUUUAAAAUAUCAAAACUAAUCAUUAUCAGUUUUUCAAUUUGCAGAAUGUUUGAUUUAUAACAUUGUAGUCAUUAUUUAGGCCAGGUCGAUGAUACCAAAAUCUACGAGUGGGCAACAGUCCGGAAGAAUACUGAUAGCUAGUGGAAUCAAUCAAGCAAUAGGUAGAUAGAUAAGUGAAGUACCCAUACCAACUACAUAACUACUUAACUACUAGGAUGUGAAGUAGGAGAUGGUUCAAAUCAGAAUACAUUUUCAAGGAGUUCGCAGAGAUCAUUUACCUUGUAAUCCUUCUUCAGAGAGUGAAGCAACUUAGCAGCUUCGAUUGCUGGUCGUUGAUGCACGCAGCCACUCGGGCCCUCCCGUCCGAGGAAUCCACUACUGAUUUGAAGGUUUAUUCUUGUGUUGCUGCUGUAUCUGUAUAAAUCUGUGGGUGUGAGUGCAUGUUGUUAUCCUGAAAAUGCGAUCGAUGUUGCUUAUAUUCCCUGCUUCAUUUUCUGGUUGCAGUCAGGUUCCUCACAAGCUGCUAAAAGUAAAAAAUAUCCUUCUCUGAUGAUAAUUUUUUUUAGGUGAUGAUGAUAUCUGAAUGCAGUAAAGUUAUAUACCCUACCUAGUAGUGCAUAUCUUGAUUGCUUCUCUCUCGUGGAAUUUUACUAUGAUUUGACUUAUAUAACUUCCAAAUGACCACCAGUUUCAAGGUUUCUAUAUAUCUUUUCUAUAAUAUUUUAAGAACUGAAAAACUAACUCCUUUGAGCUAUUAAAACCUCCGAGUAUUGAGCAUCAGUGAAGUACUUCUAGUCUUAUCAGUUAUUUUCAAUUGUGAGCUGCAAACUUUGUUACUAUCAUGAAAGGCUGGAAGGCUCUAAUUUCUUGCUAUUAUUAAUAGUAACUAGCAUGGUGGCCCGCGCGGAUUACGCGGCUAGCAUCAUUAUAUUUUAUCUCAUAUAAUAGCAUAUAUGUUUUCUCAAUUUAUUAUUAAAAUAUAUUAAAAUGACAACACAAUUUUAAAUUUUGUACUAACUUUAAUGUGUAAUAUUCAUAUUUUAUUUUAUAUCGUGUUAGUUAUUAAUUAUUUUUAAUAUCAAAUUUUAGUUAUUUCUAAAUUAUAUUGCUAUAUGGACUCUAGACUCUUAUUUCAAUAUUUUUUAUUUUUUAAUUCCGAAUUUUCGUUAUGUGUAAAUUGUAUUUUUAUAUAGACUCUAAGCUCUUAUUCCAAUAUUAUUUAUUUUUGAUUCUGAAUUUUUAUUAUUUCUAAUUGUAUUUCUAUGUGGACUCUAAACUCAUCUUUUAAUAUUCUUUAAUUUUUAAUUUCGAAUUUUAGUUACAUCUAAAUUGUAUUUCUAUAUUGACUUUAGAAUCUAACUCUACUUUUAAUUUCGAAUUUUAGUUGUUUGUAAAUUGUAUUUUUAUAUGGACUCUAACUCUACUUUUAAUUUUAUUAUUUUUAUUCUGAAUUUUAGUUAGUUUUAAAAUCCUAUAUGGACUUUAUAUUCUACUUCUAAUAUUCCUUAUUUUUAAUUCUGAAUUUCUAUUAUUUCUUAAUUGUAUUUCUAUAUGGACUCUAUACUCUUCUUCUAAUAUUCUUUAUUUUUUAAUUUCGAAUUUCAGUUAUUUCUAAAUUGUAUUUCUAUAUGGACUCUGGUCUCCUCUUCUAGUAUUCCUACUCUCUCUGUUUCAUAAUGUAAGUCAUUAUGACUUACGUUAUGAAAUGGAAGAAGUAAUUUUUUAGCUCCGAAUUUCAACAAUUUCUAAAUGUAUUUCUAUAUGGACUCUGUUUUUCUUUUUCUCCGAUUAAUAUAAGAAUUUCUAGGCCGUGAGAGCGAACGUUGAGACUCCUUUUUCUAUUCCUUUAGUAAGUUAACUAGCUGGGCGGCCCGCACAAUUGCGCGGCUAGCACCUAUAUAAAAUUAUAUAUUUUUUAAUAUAAUUUUACUUAAAUUUUAUUAAAUAGUUGUCUCGUUGUUUUUAAGACUUUGAAAGAAAAAACCUCAUCAUCCUAGUGUUUCUAAUUUUAUAGUUUUUAACAGUCACUAGUUGCUACCCCAUAUAUUUCUGUUAUAUCCUUAUUUAUUUGCUUGCACGUUCUACCACUGUUUCUAUUUAUUCUCCUCGGAACCUUUAAAAAUUGCAUAAUUUGUCAUCCCGAUAAUUUUUAUUCAUAAAUUAUAUUCCUACUUGAACUCUUAUAAUUUUUUAUAUUAUUGAAAUUUAUUUUAUUUGUUAUUUCGAACUUUAAUUAAUCUCGUCAUGUGUUCUAGAUUAUCUCUUAUUUCAAUAGUCUUUAUUUUUUUAUUAAAAAUUUUAGUUAUUUAUAAAUUGUAUUCUAGUUGAGCUCUUAUUUUUCUUUUUUUAUUUUUGAAUUUAUUUUAUUUUCUAUUUCGAAUUUAUUCUAUCUAGACUAUUUUUUUAAUAUUUCUAAAUUUUUUAGAGUAAAUUUCACAAAACUACAUAUACUUUGACCAAAUUAUCGUAAAACUACAUAUUUAAGGUCGUAUAUCAUAGAAUUACAGAUUUAGCAACAAAUUUAUUACAAAACUACAGGUUUAAAACUAACUAUCACAAAACUACAUAUUUUAGAAUAAAAUUAUCAUAAAACUACAGAUUUUAGGAUUUAAAUCCUUUGCACUAAUGUAAUGUUUGAGUUAUAAAUAUCCAAGUUUUAUGAUUAAAUUGACAUUAAACCUAUAUGUUUGUGGUAACUUUGUUCUAAAUUUGUAGUUUUGCGAUAUUUUACCUUAAAUUGUAGUUUUGUGAUAAAAUUAGUGUUAAAUCUGUAGUUUUGUGAUAUAUCAUGUUAAAUCCGUAGUUUUGCGAUAAUUUGGUCAAAGUAUCUGUAGUUUUGUGAAAUUUAAUCAAUUUUUUAUUUCUAAUUUCAAUUGUUUCAAAAUUGUAUUUCUACUUGAACUCUCUUUUUUAUUAUUUGUAAUUUUUUAUUUUAUUUAAUUUUUUAUUUUAAAUUUUAAUUAAUAUCGUAUUGGUUUCUUACUUGGUAUCUUUUUUUCAAUAUUGCUUAUUUUUAAUCUCGAAUUUUAGUUAUUUUUAAAUUAUAUUCCUACGUGAACUCUUAUUUUAUUUUAUUUUUCUAAUUUCGGAUUUUAUUUUAUCUUUAUUCCGAAUUUUAAUUAAUCUCGUAUUGGGUUCUUGUAUGGACUCUUCUUUCAAUAUUCCUUAUUUUUAAUUCCGAGUUUCAGUUAUUUUUAAAUUGUAUUCCUAUUGGAGACUUUUUUUUUCUAAUUUUAGAUUUUAUUUUAUUUUUAAUCCAAAUUUUGAUUAAUCUCGUAUUGGGUUCCUAUAAAGACUCUUCUUUCAAUAUUACUUAUUUUUAAUUCCGAAUUUCAGCUAUCUUUUGAUUGUAUUUAUAUUUGGACUCUUCUUUUCUUUUUCUUCGAUUAUUGUAGGAAUUUCUAGCCACCACAGUGAAUGUGGUGCUUUUUUUCAAGGUUAUUUUAAUAAUAUAAUAGAUAGAUAGAUAGAUAGAUAGAUAGAUAGAUAGAUAGAUAGAUAGAUAGAUAGAUGGAUAGAUGGAGUAGAGUGAAGAAUUCAUUUACAGGAUUUCACUGUCAAAACCACACAAUCUUAAAUUUAUAGCUUUUCUUUCCUGUGGAGCUUUCUCGUUGAACAGAUUUCCGUGGGUACAAAUUUUGUGUUUUCCUGUAGAGUGACUCACAAUAGUUAAUUUGAGCAGCAGUGCUGGUGGGAUUACACCUGAACAGCAGUCUAUGGCUCUUUGCCUGUAAUUUCCUAGUGAAUUUCUUUAUUUAUUAUCUGAUCAAUAUGCUAAUCUCUAUUGCCUCACUUUCUGUGUUUUUGUAAUUUGUCAUCUCUGCUCUGCUCAUUCUCUCUGUUCCCUAUUUGCAAAGCGUUCAAUGUUUUGCCUAUGAAGUUUGCAGUCAUAAAAGUGAAAUGAACUAGUAAAAAUAAGAGAAUGCAAGUUAUAAGAAAGCAAGAAAGGUCAAGGUUACCUGCCUGCCAGUAGCCACAACUUUAAUCGCCAUGGACAGCUUCAAUCUCAGGCAACACAAGUCAGUCGUCCGGUGCUGCAAGUGAUCUCGAGUGAAGAGAACAAUUUGACUGGCUGUUCCAAUUCCAUUCAGAGCCAGUACCAGCAUUUUCUAAAAUCAAAGAAAGCCCAAAACAAGGAUCAUACAGAAACAGAAGAAAAGAAAAGAUAAUCUAGGAAGAGUGUAAACAAUGAGCUAGUCAAAGGAAAGGAGCUAAGCAACUUGCUAAUAAAACAUGCAUGCAUGGUUAGGCAAGCUAGCACAUCUAAUAUUCACUUUUCUUGGGUGGAAAUUACAUUGUUGACCCAAUAGUGAAGGUCUUGGAUGUAGACAGAAGAACCAGGUGCCUUCAUGCACAAUGGAACGGAGAGCUAAAUAUAUAAAUUAACCUCAAGCAGAUGAUUCCUGUCUUACCAAUGCAUAAGAGCUCAGACAUGGCGCUUAAAUUGCCAGUGUGGAUAUCUGUUGUGCUUAUUGUUUUGUUCAGUGUGACUUCUGCUUCUUCUCCAGUUCCGAGCAAGAACAAUGGCAGCAACACCGACCUUGCUGCAGUGCUGGCUUUCAAAACAUCAAAUCUUAUAAAAUAAACAGCUAAUAAAUUCCUCAGCAUAAAUGCAAGGGAUAUGAGUAAGAUAAUGUUUGCAUUAAUAUAUGUCAUUUAUGGUGGGUUAUUGUACCCCUAUAUGAACACCGGCAACAGUGAAGGUCAUAGAAGUAGCUUAUCAAAUCAUCAGGAGAACAAAACACUAUAGCCUGAUCUUGUGAUGGCAAUCAUUUCCAAGAAAAAUAACACAAUGGCCCUCGGCUGCUUGGUGGCUUUUGUGAUCUUGGCUGUCGCUCUCUCAUCCUGCAAAGCGGACGGUUAGAUUUAAUUUCCUCUCUACAAUGUCUCCUACAAAUUUAAACAUUGCUCCAAAUCUUAGAUCCAUGUCAAAUUUAAAGUUUGUAUAUAUGUUUGACGGAGCUCGUGGCUCCUCACCGGCAGACCGCACAGGCCCCCCUUUGCCGGUUCGGCCGGGGGCUUAGGGUGAAAUCUCAAGCUCUCUCGGUAUGUGGAAAGAUCGCGAGCCCCAAAAGAAACGCAAGACACGAGCGAUGUAUACAGGUUCGGGCCGCUGGGAAGCGUAAUACCCUACUCCUGUGUUUUGGUGGAUCUGUAUAUGAACAAGUAACAAGGUGUCGACCCGCCCCCCAAUCGCUCUGGGAUCGGAUCUAGAAAAAGGUCUCCAGUCGCCCUUUCUAAGUGGGCAAGGUCCUCCUUUUAUAUCUCAAGGGGAUACCACAUGCCCCUCUCUCUUUCCAAACUGGACUGUUCUUUUCUUCAUAAAUGGACGGAGAUCGGUACGGUUCCUGUCCGAUUGCCCUUCUGACGGGACAGCCCAUACCUACCCCCACUUUCGUCGGAAACAGGGACGACGUGGGAUUAUGGCUGUCCGUUGAUGACGCGACCAGUGUCAGACCGGUCAUUCUUGUCCACUACGCGUCAGCUUAGCAACGUGCAUGUCUGCCCUUCUUCAUGUAACAUCUUGCCUGUAAUGGUUAGGAUGAAGCCUGGUAUAAAUCUAACCAGGGCUAACGUGCCAUCUCUAAGAGAUAACACGCUAGCUCCGGCUUGAGACGAGGGCCUAGAGGCUUUCGUCUUGACGGGAUGGGGCAAGGCGUGCGUCAGACCGCCAGUCGCCACCUAACCCGUGAUCUGACCGGUCUGUGACAGGUCACAGACCGGAUAAAGGAACGCGCUGCACUGCGCUGCAUGCAGCGUGACACGCUUGACCAGACUACAAUAAAUGCGGUUAGGUGAGCACCGCCGUGUUCACCUAUCCCAUAUAUGUGGUGCAAACUUCCUCAAGGGGUCAGGGUGCUUCGGCCCUCGGGGCCGGGGCAGGAGUAACCUGACCCCCCCCCUCGGGGAAAUCAGGAGGAGGGCGGACACGUCACCCUCGGGCCCGACGUCCCCGAAGGUGCCAGGCCACGUGGGCGAUUGUGUCUGCCUCAAGCCUCUGGUCACGAUACUCCCGGUCCCAUAUCACCGACAAUGUUAAACUACAAUUGUUUAAAAUAUUUUAUUUCCUCUAAAAUAUAAAUAAAAUGAUUUAUUUAAAUAUUACCAACGUAAUCACAGAAUUUCUACAUUUAGAAAUACCUAGCUUAAAAAAAAUAAAUUAGAGUUGUGCCGAACAAGGCCAAUAUACAGAGUUGUGCCAAACAGAUUGAAGAUUUUAUAAGCGAAGAUUUUUGAAAUUGUGGUAGUUACUACAAAUUUGUUUAUCUUUAGUACCUACUGUAAGCAUGGCAUCAUUCGUCCAAUAUGUAUGUGUACCCAAUAGUAUAUACAUCAUCGUAUGACAGAAACUUGGAUUUGAAUGCAUGCAGAAAACAGACCUUCAAAUCACAGUUGCUCAUUUUUUUUUAAAAAAAAAUAAUGAACCUUUUAAUCUAUCCCCGCUAUAGGACAGAAUAUAGAUGCAAUAAAGCUAAGGCAGAAUAUAUCUACCUAAAAACCUCAUCUACUCAUUUUUAUUAGCUGGUUGAAUUGACAUGCAUACAAAACAAUUUGUAUACCGUGAAAAGAGCAGCCGGCUUCCUUAAUGGAUUGGAUUUCAAAUCUGAUUAGUCAUUAACCCGUUAAUAAGGACUCCACAUUAGCACCAAACUGCACAGAUCUUGGAACAAACCGCAUGGUGGAUGAGACGGGAGUAACUACUCCCGGUAGUAGUAUAUAAUUUUCAUAUAUAUAUAUAUAUAUAUAUAUAUAUAUAUAUAUAUAUAUAUAUAUAUAUAUAUAUAUAUAUAUAUAUAUAUAUAUAUAUGGCUAUGAUUAUGACUGUGAGCUAUUAGAACAAAACUGCAGGGAGAGCUAUAUGGCCGUACUAAAACACACAUGCCCAUAAUCCGGUUGAUUUUCUUAGUCAUAAAUAUAGUUGAUUGAUUGAUUUAGAGAAUAAUCUAUAUUCGCUUAAUUGGUAAUCAUACGAUAAUUUUAUGUUUAAAAGGAUAGCGGUUGGAUAUAUUGGAUUUUCUUACUUUAUAAUUACUGUAAAACUAUAAUGGUAGAAACAGCUGUGCCCAAACAAUGUUUACUGUAAGGACAUGAAUUUAUUCCCCAGUUAAAUAAUUGUUUUCCCGAUAAUGAUUAAGAGAUUACUGCAAAACAAUUAUAUAUAUUUAGUUUACUCCACAGUUAAUUACAUAUAUUUUUAUACAAAAUAAUAUUUCUUGAACUAUAUUUGUAAACACGAUCUUGAUGUUAGACGGUUCACAAAACCGAUGGAAUCUCAGUUUGUGAUAACCGGUCGAUAUUAGCCGAUCUUGGUUGUGAAAAUUUUCGUAUGGUAUUCACUGAAAGGCGCCGGUUUUCGAUCGGAUUUAUUGCUGUUUUUUUACUGGUUUUCGAUCGGAUUUUGGUAAACUUGUGAGGAGCGGUUUUUACUUCGAAAUCGAAAAAUUGAAACCUAUUUUAGCAAACAAUCUACCAUUUGCAGUAGUUUAUUGCCAUAAACAACAAAAAGAUACUACCAAGUUUUUCAGCACAAAAAUGCUGUUGUUUGAACUCUUCUGUCGUGACCAUCGUCUACUUGUUGCUGAGCAUGAUGACAAUAUUCAGAUCCUGUAAAAUGCAUGUGCAGUACCAUGGCUUAAACUUGAACCAAAACCAUGGGCUAAACUUGAAUCAGGAACACAUCUCAAUGUGAGAUGAAAUACAGCGCGAUUGCAUUGCAACAAUAUCACAAUAAAGAAGAGAACAAAUCAGGAAACGCUACUCUCACUUUUAUUGCAUCGCAGUAGUAGUUUCAGUACAUCAAUAACCUAUCCAGAUCUCGUCCAAGUAUAACAUGUAUCAAGAAACAAAUCAGCCAUCUGCAGAGAACUACUGCAACUACACCACACUCUCAUCCAUGUCGCACCCAUCACGCAUUCAGCAUCUUGCCUGCAGAUCCCAGAACUUGCAUCUUCAUUUAUGCUGCGGCCAUAACGCAUUCAAUUGCUUGCUUGCAGAUUCCAGUCAUCGUCGCUUCUGGCCCAUACACCUGCAGUGAUGGGUUGUUCAAACAGAAAUCAGCUCAUCCGUGUUGUGUGAGGGAUGGUCAGGAUAGUGAUUCAGAACCACCAACAACAAACUGAUAGGUUUGCCCAUUUGCAUUUAUGAACUUCAGACAUAACAGGUCUUGCAUAGCAAAGAGAGAGGUGCAGUAGGAGACACUAGAUCCGUACCUCAAUCGGGACGCCGAGUUCUGCGCCAAGCUUGCGCAUUUUAGCCAGCCCAGUUUGGUAAUUUGGACCACCACGUCGGACAUAGAUGUGCAUCCUUGCAGCCUUCAACUUGGAUUCCUGAAAGCAAGUUUCAGAUUCAGUUGACAGUCAACCAAUCAGAUGAACAUGUGGAACUGGUGAUAAGUUUUAGAGAACAUUGGCCACAAUUCGAGAUUUAGGGGUCAGCAUAGCUACCUUCUCUCUUAAGGCCCGAAUGAUGCCGCUAAAUGUGGCCCCGACGUCGGUGAAGUUAGCUAUACCCCCUCCAAUGAGAAGAGCUCUCUUGCGGCCAUCAGGAUCAGCAGUCGCACACUGCAUUGAAUGUUAUCAUUAACAAAUUGACAUAACAAGGGAGUGGAGAGAAAUGUGGUUAUGGUUAUAUCUUGAGUGCUUACAUCAAGUACUACUCUAGCAUACUGCAGAACCUCCUCCUCGUUGGGAGCACCGCUAUACUCUGCAUAGUUUUCUAAUUCUGAAGCAUAUCCCAAAUCUCCGACAUGGUAAAUAAGAAAAAAAAACUUAAUUUCAUGAGAGUAGCAUGAAAUCCUUGAACAGCUAAGUUAAAACAAGGGAGGAACUCAAAGCUUACUGUAUCAGCAUAUAUGACACUGGCACCACCUCCAGCAACCAUUGUCCAGAUGCGCCCCUUUGGGUUCAAAACGGUGAACUUCAGAGAUGCACUUGUCUGAAAGAAUAAGGUCAUUAUAUCACAUUUAGCAAAUAAUUCAAAAAAACAUAUAGUGCUGAGCCAGACUGCCAGCACUCCUAUCUGAAUUCAUGUGCAAACCUACUGAUGAUAUUAUACAGGCAACUCAUACUUAAAAAAGAUUGGGGAGGAGGCUUGAAAUGUGAAACGUGUAAUUUGAGAUGUGGAUACCUUCUCAUCCAAGUCAUGGAUAAAGCCUUCUGUAGAACUGAGAACUCUACCGAAUGGUAGUGGGAAUUCGAUAUUUCCCCACCUGAACAGUGACAAGAAAUGCUUAAUAAAACAUUCGCACAGAGGCAUGUAUGCUAGAGAAGCAAUGAGACUUACUUCUUGAAGUUUUGAAAGCUGCUGUGUCAUCUAAUUCUCCUCUCAUGUCCAGAGGAUACGGCUCUCCAUUCACGAUGGUAAAUGGGUUCAUCUCGAGAAAUGAGAAAUCCAAGUCUGUAAAGGGAGCAUAUUAUUAUGGAUACAUGAUAUACCAAUACGCUUAUUAUUACAUUUUACAAUUAAAACAUUACAACAAAUGACAAGUGAAUUCUAUAUGCAUCUUUAAUACCUUGGAAGACAGCAAAGACUCCUUUAAUGAAAUCACCAAUUUUUCCACGUGCCUAAUGACGAAAUGUACAGUUCAAUUAUUAUAAGCAUGUGACAGAUAGAAGUACUCCUCAAAUGAAAUCAACUGAAUGAGGUACAAAGGCAAAUAAUUUUAACAGGACAAAUACCUCCAAUGGAAGGGUAGCAAUCAAGGGAGCACAUGCAUCAGGUGUCAUUGGCUUCUCAGUGGAAAGAAAAAUUGUCUUAACCUUGUCCCAGUUCUCCUCAAUUUCUAUUCCUCCACACUCUGAGAAGCUAAUGGUGCUGCCCAGCCUCUCCGAGACAAUAGAAAGGUAGUAUUCUUGAUCAUGGGGUACAAAUGGCUCCACAAUGAAGGUGGUGAUUGGAGCCUUGCAGCCACCCAUCUCGACCUGAAUAGCCACAAUAGGACAGAACAACUUAAUUUAUCAAGCGAACAGAGAAUAAGUCAGAUUUUAAAGGCGAUAGCAAAAUUGAACUACCUCAACUCCCAGCCUCUCCUUCACAAACUCCUUGACUUGAGCAAUAUCUAGGUUGAGGGCCACAAGUCCGCUCUUGCCACGCUUCCCGAACAGCAUGUCGGGCUUCACGACCAACUUCAUGGUUGACAGCCAUGGCUGCUGGUUUACCAGCUCUGUGAAGUCCGUCGAUUGUGUAACCUUUUUACAAAUCCCAGAAUCAGCCAAACCGAUAUUUUUAACUUCAAACAAAAAUAUGCUAUGUCAAACGAGAACCGUAAUUAAGAUUAAUUUCGCGCAUAGUGCAAUUUGUAUAAUUCAAAAUCAGUCAGUUUAAACUCCCUAGUGACCCCAAAUGUGUGAAUGUAACAAAAGGAACUAUCUGCUUGUAUGUAGUAUUUCAGAGGAAAUCACUCUGCAUCAGGACAACAUUCAAGUGUCAACAUCAUGACCAGUUCACCACCAUACGGACACCAGUAAUGAAUUAAUUAACAAUUUAGACAUACAAAAAAAAAACAAAAACAAUACUGCAAGACAAAACUCCAGUCUCCAGAUCUAACAAAGAAACCGAUUCUUUUGCACUACUGCCAGUACCAAACUGCAAGCAAUAAGCCGUACUAGUUCCAAUCAAAAUCGCACCUUUGCAAGUUACCCUUCACAUACAGAACCAAGAACAUUUCCAUUCUAAAAUCAAAAUCCUGUCAGUGAGCCCAUCCACAAUGCCUACCAGCACAAAAAUUGCAUCGUCCUACGACUUGUACCCAGAUCCCCCAUUUCAUACUAUCACCAUUGUAUUUUAUCCUAAACAGAGAACUAUCUUCUCACGAAUUAACAAAUGCCAAUGCCUCAUUGAGUAAUCAAUAUCGAACCCAAAAAAGAAAGACAAACCAGAUCUUUACAGUUUACACGCAACCAGGCCAAAUCACGCGGGCCCAAAUCAGGCCAAAAAAAAAAAUGAAAAAGCGCCAACCAACCAGGGAUCACCGGAAACAACAGCUAAAACUUUGAGAUCAAGAAGAAGAAGAAGAAGAGAGAAUCGAACCUGGGCGGAGAGGAUCUGGAGGUCGAUACCGGCGAGGCGCUUGAGGUGCUCCUUGAGGAGGCGCUUGGAGUCGUACUCCCGGAUCUUCUUGCGCGCCAUGGCUCGGUUAGCUGCCGCCGCGAGAGGAGAGGCGUGGGUUCUUGAGGAGGGUUCAGCAAACCAACUGCAGAGGUAGGUAGGUAGGCGGAGUGAACGAAGCCAACCAAGAUGAAGGUGGUGGUCUUGGUGGUGUGUGCACGUUGCGUCUUUGGGAGGAAUGGAAUGAAUAUAAAGAAGAUGACUCGCUGUGUUCUAGAUUGGAUCUACUAAGUAAAAGCAAACCUGCAGCAUCAGUGUAGAAGAGAAGCAUUAAUUAAUUGACUAAACUACUGCUAAUUGUGAUAUGCAUCCUCCUGAAUUAAUUGUCUACUGAAGAUAUUGUGAUAUGCACACCCUGUAUGAGAAUGAGACCAUGUUUAUGACCAAUCGGACCAGAUUACAUUGUGCUGUGCGAGAAUAAUGGUUUCUGCCUUUGGUUUCCUUUUCCAUCUUUUGGUGUUUCUUGGUUUGACAGUGGAUGGAUUAAUUACGUUAUUAAGGAGAACAAUUCAGCAGACAGACUAGUGACUAGUGAUUAGACUGUUGAACAGGUGUUGGUUUGUUUGAUUUUGGUUCAGGAAAGGUUGUUUUGCAAGAGAAGCGAGAGGGAGAGUUUGGUGUUUGGUGAGUAGAUGGCAGUUGCACAAUCUGCCUGCUUGCUGGUAGCCUUGUUGUGCUCCAGUUAGGUAGCAGGUAGAUGUGAUGACUUCUUUUCUCUUGUGUUGCUGUUGGUCCUCUGAUCUACUGCAGUGUUCAGUUUUGUUUUUCUGGCCACACAUCCUACCAAAAACCGGCGAAAUAGCGAUGAUAUGGGCCCAAAAAAAUGUGGCACUCUGGGCCUGUGAUUGUUCAGACAGUAGGUAUGGGCUUAAAUAUUUGGGCUGCUCCCGGUUAGUAUUUGGGCCUGAUUUAUAUACGAACAGAAGCUGCAAACACGUUGUAUAUUUUAAUCUGAAUUUUUAUAGUAUAUUUCAUAUAGCUACAACUAUUUUUUGUAAAAAAAAAAAAAACUAUCAUUCUGUUACAACGUUAGCUCAAAAUUUUCCAAGAGAACUACAGCAAUAUCGUAUGAUUUAUAAAAUAAACUACAACUCUAUUUGAAUGAUAAAUUUGCACUCACCUGUCAUAUAUACUAUACAUGUUACUCAUUCUGGUAUGAGUUGGCUCACAUGUCAUAAAACUUAUAGGAAGAUAAAAUCAUAGUUUUUUAAUAAAAUCUUUGCUAUGUUGCAGUUUUGGGGAAAUACCAGUUAAAGUUAUAGUGAUAGUUUUGAAAAGAAAAUUUACAUUGUAGUUUUGUAUGAUUGUUAGUGUGUUCCAGCAUGUAAAUAGUGUAUUUGUAUACUGUUGGCUAUUAGUGCAUAGUGGGGAUUGAUUGCUGAACCACUGUUGGCUGGAUCCUUGUUCCAUGGCAUCUGGCGCCAAUGUUUCCCGCCAAAUUCCUUUCCUUUCCAUUCCCUCCAACUCAACCCCAUUCUCUCUGGAGUCUUGCUGGUCAAAAAAUAUCCUCAAAAAAGGAAAAGAAAAAAGAACUAGGGUUUACGCUCCAUGGAGGUCGAAGCCCAGACCUCGGCCGCCGCGGCGGCGGCCGGCGACGAGCUCCGGUCGCUCCUCUCCGCCACCCUGAGCCCCGACAAGGCGGCGGUGGACGCCGCCACGGAAGGGCUCUCCAGGAUCGCCGCCUCCUCCGACCCCCGCUUCCCCAUCUCCCUCCUCGCCGUCGCCGCAGGUACCCUCCCCUUUCUCGUUGUAGCUGUGCUGGUGGCGUUUCCAUGCCAAGUGCUACCGUGUUCGAUUUCUGCGGAAGCUUGUGGAUAUUUUUGCUUCUGCUGGGGAAUUUGAGCAGUGGUAGCCUGGAUUGUAAUUUACUAAUUUGUGGAACUCCAUGCAAAAAUGAAAGCUAUUUUGGACAAAUCACUUAUGCAUGUUUGAUGUUUGUCUGUCUAUUUUAAAUUGCCACACGCAGCACCCAAAAUCCAACUCAUGAUUCGAUAAACUGCAGUUAGCAAGUGCGGGAGACUAUUUAUGUGCAUGUAAAAACAUAAUUUUGGGAAAUGGUUGGUGCUCUGUCCAUGGAGACGAAUAUAUUGAUGUUCUUGUUUCAUUUUGAGAUAUUGUACAGAAAAAUGGAAAUGUUAUACCAGUAUUUAGGCCUGGUUUAGUUCCCAACUUUUUCUUCAAACUUCCAACUUUUCCAUCACAUCAAAACUUUCAUACACACACAAACUUCCAACUUUUCCGUCACAUCGUUCCAAUUUCAAUCAAACUUCCAAUUUUAGCGUGAACAAAACACACCAAUUUUAGUUGUGAGUAUAUGUGUUCUUUUUGAGCAAUCAAUGCUCAGGCAGGCAGCCCACCUGACCUUUAUAAUUGAAUUGUGCUUAUAGCUGAUGGGGACCAAGGAACAAAAGUUGCUGCAGCAACAUACUUGAAGAAUUACACACGCCGAAAUAUUGACUGGGGGUUGUCAUCACCUGAGCUUUAUAAAGAGUUCCGUGAUCGGCUCGCCCAGGCGUUGCUUCAAGUGGAACCUUUCCUUCUUCGAGUAUUGAUUGAAGUUGUAUGUCUCAUUUCUACUUAAUUUCUCUGCAACUAAAUUCCUCACUACCAAGCCUUUUUUGGGUGUUAUCUUACAUCCUUAUGGUUUGCAUCAAACAGUUCCGCCAAGUCAUAGAAAAAGAUUUUGUCAAGGAAAAUUUGUGGCCUGAACUUGUCCCCCAGUUGAAGCAAGUGAUCCAGAGCAGCAAUAUAAUAAGUCCAGGCCAGCAUCCUGAAUGGAAUACUAUCAACGCACUCACAGUACUUCAAUCUGUUGUUAGGCCCUUCCAGGUAUAUCUCAUGGACUAAUAUUUCAUAUGCUGUAUGCCUUUGUCGCAUGUUUUUGAAAAUCAAAUCCUUCACUCUCAGAUUUUAGUUUUUGUAAGCGUGAACAUUUUAUUUUAACUUCAUUUUAUUCCUUUUUUUUUGUUAAAGGACUCCUGUCUCUAGCUUGUCCAUACAAGACAUAACUCUGUUGAUAUUUGUGCAAUUGUCUGUUCUAAUUGCAUAAUACUUAUUGUACACAUUUCAGCUUACAAAGGGAGUAAAUAGUAUGCCUUAAAGCUUAAACUUACUUUACUCAUUAUAGAGUUUUAGCAUUCCUGUAUCAACAACUACUGCACAUAAAUAUUUUAGUAGAGCGGAUUUCUUAUUUAUUUCUAGCUGUGUUAUCUUACAGUACUUCUUGAACCCCAAAGUAGCAAAAGAGCCUGUUCCACCACAAUUGGAGCAAAUCGCAUCUGAGAUUCUUGUACCACUACAAGUGACAUUCCAUCACAUUGCUGACAAGGUUUUGUGUUGCACUCUGCUUUGCUCUAAAUGCUGUACACAUGCUGAUCUUUCCUGAACUUUUUAUGGUGUGUGGUUCUGUGGUCAAUAGGUUCUGUUGUCACAUGAUGAGACUAAUCUGGAAUACGAGCAACUCCUACUCAUCACGAGCAAGUGCAUGUAUUUCACUGUAAGACAUGGUUCCUUCCUUCUGUAUUAAAAAUACCAUUAUGACCAUAACAUACUAUCAUCAUACGGUAAAAUGUAGAAACUGCUAUUAAUAAACCAUGUGCUGUUUGCAUAAUUAUAUUGAAGAGUGCCAAUUAGCAACAUCUGGGAAGGUUAAGAGAACGAAAGGUUGGGCUGAGACUGAGGAGUAUAAUGUGUUUGAAUAGAACUUAAAGCAUUACUGUUCAUGUUUAUGUAAACAAUUUAGGAAUACAAUACUGAGUUUGUUCUUUUGGUUCUCCAAAUGCUGUACUUGAAUUACUGGUAUAUUUACAUUGUUUUAAUUCCAUAGCUAACGUUUUGGCAUGCAUGAUUAUUAACUUGCUAUGAGGGAUGCCUAAUUGUCAUACUCAUGCAGGUUAGGUCAUACAUGCCAUCUAGGGUAAAGCAGAUUUUGCCUUCCUUUUGCAAAGACAUGUUCCGCAUACUAGAAUCACUGGAUUUCAACAGUCAAUAUGAAGAUAGAGCCACAACAAGGCUCAAGACUGCAAAGAGAUGCCUCAUCAUACUUUGCACACUUGUUACUCGUCACCGGAAACAUGCUGACGAGUACGUACUUUAAUGUUUAUCGUCAUUCUUAUCCUUUUAGAAUACUAACCCUCCAGUUUUCUCAGCCAGAUGGCACAUAUAGUCAACAGCGCAACCAGAAUAUCAAGUCAAAGCAUUCAUUUACAUGUAAGUUCAGUCAGUGGUUUGUAUAAUCCUUUUAUUUGUACAAUGUGAUGAAGCCCAAACAUCAUGAACCCGAACUAAAGCAUGCUAGAUUCUGAAGGUUGCGAUGGUCAUCAGUCAUCAUGAUCAUUUCCUAAUUUAUUUGACGAGAUUCUGAGAGUGCUUAAUGAUUACAGAAACUCGGCCCUCUCUCUGAUCGGAUCAUUUCAUUGUCAUUUGAUGUAAUUUCUCGUGUUCUGGAGACAGGCCCUGUAAGUAUUUACAUUAUGCAGUUAAACUGAACCAAAAUCAUGAUUCACAUUUUUUUAUGUUUGAAUUUGAUGGGUCUGUGCUCCUUGGUUGCAGGGAUGGCGACUUGUUUCACCACAUUUUUCUUCACUUCUGGAUUCAGCAAUUUUUCCAGCUUUAGCAUUAAAUGAAAAGGUCAGCUCCCUGCCUUUUUCGAUAGGAAACACAUAAGUACUGUUUCAAUAUGUAAUUUGUUUGGUUUAAACUUUAUCUGUGUGCAGGAUAUAACAGAGUGGGAAGACGAUACUGAUGAGUACAUGCGGAAAAAUCUACCUUGUGAACUUGUAUGUACAUGAAUCCAUCACGCUAAUUUUCUCUCUGGCUUUUGUGUUCACUGAUAUAUUUGCUGGCAGGACGACAUUUCAGGAUGGGCUGAGGAUUUAUUCACAGCAAGAAAAAGUGGUAUCAAUUUACUUGGUGUUAUAGCCCUAUCGAAGGUUGUGCCUUUUUCCAUAGUGGAAUGGAACAUAAUAACAAGUUUAGAUCCACCAGUAUCUUUUAACAUUGAAUUGCUAUAUUAAUAAACCCUUUGAUAAACUGUUCCUUCAUAAUUCAUAAAUCAUUAUAAGGUAUUACAGCUUUUGACUAGCACUGGUAGAAGGAUAACAAUAUUCUUUUUGUAUUGAAUUCCAUUUGCAUCUAUCACAACCUGCAAGCAUACAUACUUAAAAUGCUAUUAACAACUGUAUGUUCAAUCUACCUAGUUCACACAUUUUCUAUCUAUCACCUGAACCUUUUCACUUAUUGAAUUGAAAUAAAACGUUUAAAGAUGUUCUACUCAUGUAUUAGCAUUUUCUGGCAUCAGGGCCCACCAGUUGUAUCUGCAGCUUCUAAGCGUAAGAAAGGUGAUAAAAGUAAAGGAAAAGGAGAAAGGAGCUCCAUUGGGGAGUUAUUGGUUAUACCAUUCCUGUCAAAAUUUCCUAUACCUCCCCAGGGGGAAGAUGUGUCAUCAAAGGCAGUGCAGAAGUAAGAACAUAAUAAUUACUUGUUUUAACCAAGAAAAAAUGGUAGCAAAAAGUCUAGAUAUUUGUAUCUCUCAUGCUUACAAGUGAACUACAGCAUAUUCGUUUUGUUAUUUUCCCAUAUUUCUAUAUAGUUGGAAGUUCACUUCAUUUCACUGUCACUCAUUCCAGUUAUUUCGGUGUUCUAAUGGCAUUUGGGGGCCUCCAAGAUGUAAGAUUCAGAAGAUGUGUGUUUUGUGUUUUUUUGUUAGAAUGAAUACCAAUGAAUUUCAGUAACCCAUUUUGCAGUUUCUGACUGAGAAAAAAGAUUUGACAAAUACAAUCAUUAGGAAUCGUAUUCUUCCACUGUAUUCCCUGGAUCCAUGCAGUCCAUAUUUGAUUUCUGCAGCAAACUGGAUUAUUGGACAGCUUGCGUUGUGCCUACCAGAGGUUACAUUUUUUCCUUCAUAAUUUUAUCAUCCAGCCUUAUGAAAUAAUAGGUGAAAACAAAAGGCUUCAUUAAUAUGUACGUUCCAAUGUUCCAUAUAUUAUAUAUUUGAUUUUCUGACUGCUGUUUGCUUGGAUGUAGGCCAUGAGCACAAAUAUUUAUCAUUCAUUAAUGAAGGCAUUGACGAUGGAGGAUUUUGAUGAGUUGAGCUGUUAUCCUGUUCGUGCUUCUGCUUCUGGUGCCAUUGCAGAACUCAUUGAGGUAAGGGUUUAUGUGAUGUUGUCAAUGGAUUUCACCUGCCACUUGGAAGUUGGAACUAUGCUAGUAUGCCACUGAGAUAUUUCUUUGUGCCUCAUGCAGAAUGGUUAUGCUCCUCCUGAUUGGCUUGUCCUUUUACAAGUGGUGAUGAAAAGGAUAAGCGUUGAAGAUGAAAAUGAGUCUACUCUUUUGUUUCAGCUUCUGGGCACAAUAAUCGAGUCUGGCCAAGAAAAAGUUUUGCCUCACAUUCCUGAAAUUGUAUCUAACAUAGCCAAUACCAUAAUGAAGCUAUUGCCCCCUGUGCCAGAUCCCUGGCCUCAGGUAAUUGCACAUCUGUAUCCUCUAUUUGUCAAUACGUUAGUGUUUUCUGUAAAAGGGAAAAUAAACAUUGCCAUAUAUUUAACUGUACCAUCAAGUGUCAUUUCCAUUAUUAAUAUUUUUGUUGUUUGUAUUAGGGAUUAGAAUUUUACUAUAUUAUUGCUUUGAGUGGUAGAUGUCUUGAAAGGUAGGAACUGUUCCCAAAUUUAGCAGAUUUGGUAAUAGGUAUACUUAUUGAGAGUGAAGCUCAAUAAGUAGAUUAUGAGCAUUUCCGGGCUUCUUUCGUUAUAAUUAUUAAUUAAUUACGACUUAAACCAUCAUGUGCAAUCACUAGUGAACAUUGAGCACACAUCUUUCAACAUGCUCUCUGUUCAGGAGUGAUGUUUUGGGCACAAACAGUAUCCAACAUGCACCUUUGACCUUUAUUUUUUGUAUAAAUAUCAAAAAAUGCUUGUGAAGAAUCAGUAUUUUCUCAUGAAAAAUCUAAUGGUUUCAUUUUGACAUGACAAAUAUAAAAACUAUUUGACACAUCAGUGCUCAAAGUUACCAAAGUUAAUAAAGUUGACUAUGACAAUUUCUAAAAUGUUGCAUAUUUUCAAGCGGAGGGAGUACAUGCGUUUUAUAACCCAUCUGCAUUAUAUUUCAAGAUUCCUAUGUGUUCAAUUCAUAUAGGAAAAAUUCCCAUCAAACCAGCAGAUUUACAUGUAUAUGCUUUUAGGCUGUUGAACGGGGUUUUGCUGCACUGGUAUCGAUGGCUCAAGCUUGGGAAAGCUCUGCACCAGAUGAAAACAAGGACAUUGAAAUGAGGGUCUGGCAGUCAGGCCAGUUUGCUAUCGCCCAAACAUUUUCGCAUGUGUUACAAAAGGCUUGGUUGCUUCCAGUUGAGCAAAUGGUAUGCUACAUUUGCUGUUUAUUUUUUAGCAAAGCUAAAUGCUGUUUAUUGAGGCAUUCAUGUGAUGAAAUCUGCUUGAUUGCUGUUAACAUUCAUUCCAGGGGUUAUCUGUUUGCUCUUCAUUGCCACCUCUGUCAUGUGUAAAUGAUGCUUCUAUUUUACUUGAGUUCAUUAUGAGGUCUAUCACCUCUAUGGAAGAAACUGCAAGUAUGAAGGUGUUUGAGCUAGUAGCUAUAUGGGCUGACAUAAUUGCUUGUUGGGAUUCUUGGGAGGAAAUGGAGGAUCAGGGAAUUUUCAAUACAAUCAAAGAAGCUGUUAACUUCCAUCAAAACUUUGAUUCUACUGGUUUCUUCCUGAAAAUACUCCCUUCCCGAUCUGAAAAUAGUUCACAAAGUUCAGUCAUUAGUUGGGUUUCUAGUUUUAUAACCAGGGCCAUUGAAGCUUACCCAUCUGCAACAUGGAGGGCAUGUUCAUGCAUGCAUACACUGCUGCACACUCCUAAUUUCUCUCUUGGAGCAGAAGAUACUAGAAUGACUCUUGCUGUAUCCUUUGCGCAAGCAGCAUUCUCCCGUUUCAAGUCUGUAUCUGACAGCCCUUCUGGGAUAUGGAAACCACUAAUACUAGUCAUUUCGUCAUGCUACAUAUGCUACCCUGAUGCUAUUGAGCAACUCUUACGCAAAUAUGACAGUAACGGUUAUGCGAUAUGGGCAUCUGCAUUAGCACAAAUCUCAAGUAGCUCUUUCAAUCCUGGCUUGUCAUCUGAAUCCGAGAUCAAACUAGCUGGUAAGUAACUACUUACUGAUCAUUGGAAUGUUUAAUCUUGUUCAUGUUUGGUCUGUCAUCCUGUGAAGGUACAUCCUGAAUUUGUUUUCUGUUAUUGUGCAGUGUUAACGUUAGCAACUGUAAUUGAGCGUCUUUUGGCCCUUUCUACGGGUGGCACCAAACUGUUGCAUGAUUGCUGUGUAUCAUUGAUGGAGUCUUGCAUCCAUCUGAAGGAAGUUCAAGAGGAUGGGGAUGAUGGUGAUGGUGCAGAAGAUCUUGAUGAUGAUGAUGAAGAGGAGGAAGACACCGAUGAAGAUGAUGAGGUAACUGAGCAGAAUCAUGAUUUGUAUCUUCUAUAUUCAUGCCCAACCAAAUUGAUUGAAUAUCACAAACAACAUAUAAUCAGGAUUCGGAUGAUGAUGAUGAUGUACGCGAAGAGACAGAAGAGGAAUUUCUUCAAAGAUAUGCAGCGGCUGCCGCUGGUGAAUCAAUUGAAAUUGUUGAGGACGGUGACAUUGAUGAUGAAACCCAAGACAUUGAAUUGGGUAAACCCGAAUUAUUUUCUCCAUCUUAAUCUUGCCUCAAUAGUUCUUUUUUAUACAUAUGUAACUUUACUUUCAUCUCUUGGAGCAAAUGCAGGUUCCCUGGAUGAAAUGGACGUACAACAAGUGGUUCUUUCGAUGAUGAAGAUUCGUCCUGAUCUCAUUCGCGCUCAAACAUUUCCGGAUGGCCUAAUGGAGAGAAUGGCAGAAACGUUUCCUGAAUAUGAACAGUUGGUCCAUGUUCAUCGGCAAGCCUUGGCGAUACUACAAUAGACUAGUGUGCAGCCUUGUUAUUUAUUGUUUCUAGUUUCUUUUUUUUUAACUUGUAAUAUAUUUAUCUGUGUGUUUAUAUAUUUGUAUGGAAUGGUUGGCCGAUUAUUUUUUAUGGUUAAGGCGAUUAUUAACUAUAUUUUGUGAUUUGGAUCGGAGUAAUCUGGCGGGCAUGAUCUUUUAGGGAGUUCAAGGGUAGUACCAUGAGCAACACAUGGGUUUGCUUCUUGGUUCCUACAACUGUACUUCACUGAGUAGUAUGUAAGCUCCUUGGGAGAUGUCAUGCUUGCAGUACUAAAGAAAGAUUUAGCACAACUUUAUUGAACUUAUAGCAUUAUUAUUUUGUCUAUUUUAAUCAACUACAGCUGGAUUGAUCCGUACAUUAAUUAGUUCAUUUCAUUUUCUCAUGCAUGUUUCCGUUUUGUGGCAGCAGCAAGUCCCUUCCUGAAUGCAAUAGGCGUAUUUUCCGUUUAAGCUUAUCUUAUCUCGGCAGGCUCCACCGUUCAUGCAAAGAUAGGAUUGAAGCAAUAAUCUGUAUUAAAGGCAAGAAGUUAAGCAACAAGAGGCAAAAAUAAGAUGCAUCAAAAUGUGUUGCCAAAUGCAAAGUGCUAGGCUGCUAGCUAGCCAACAUCCAUCGAGUUCCACAUUGCAAAAAAGUGUUAACGAGAGGAUCGAGGGAUUACCGUCUGCUGAGAUAAGAGCAAGUUUAAUAGUAUAGCACACUACUAACUCCAAAUCAUAUAUAACCAAUAUAAGAGGAGGUAGAGAACCGGGCGUUGCUCGGUUCGAUCCCUGGGAUCGCAACUCGCGUGUCUCACCAGGGGUUUUUCCCCGUUUCCCCGGGACUGACUUCGGUUGGUCCCGGCUAGGUAAUAGGGUACACACACGUGUGCGCGUUCAGUGGGACUGUACGUUUCCCGUGCACUGAGGCCUAGUGCCUCCAAUGUUAUUCCUAGCGUGUGUUAGUGACGCGCACACGUGUGUGUGCGUGUGUAGUGGUGUGAGUGCGGUGUGUGUAAGUGUGCGUCCUGGGUUGUACCCUUCUCAAAAAAAAAUAUAAGAGGAGGUACAAUAGCAGGCUAUAAGCCAGCUAUAAACAUAUUAUAAAGAGAUAAAGGAAGAGAGAGAAGAGCAGCGGGCUACAGAUCUGUAGCUAGCUGCAGCACGGGCUCCAAAACGUAAUGUGUGUGUGACAGGGGGACCAGAUAUUAAUAGUACCGUAAACAACUAUUGUAUGAAUUGGCUAUUACAUUGGCUAUAGAUGAUUUGAAGUUAGUAGUGGGCUAUACUAUUAAACUUGCUCUAAUAGCCAAUUCAUACAAUAGUUUGACGCACAAAUCCUUUGUGCAUGUAAAUUCAGGAUUGAAGCAAUAGCCUGUAUUCACAGCAAGAAAACAACAAUAAAAUAUGCACUAGUUUAGGCAUUUUCAUCAGUAGGAUACAUGUACAUAUUUGAGACACAUCAAAUCUCAAUAUGCAUACUGCCAAACUAAUAUUGAUAACCAAUAGGAAAAGCUAUGGUUGAACCAUCUGCAUUGCAGGAUGAGAGAGCAAUAGCCAUGAUCAUAAUAUAUAGACACCAUGAGAGGGCCUCACGACCACGGGCGGUGAGGGGACCCGGCGGGGGGAGUAAAGAGUGUUGGCCCAGGGACGAACCCGGCGAUCCAUAGUCCCAGCCGAGGAGGAAGACGACGGCGGCCUGCAGGGCCAUUUACAGUCGCGAGCUAGAUGCCGGAAGCCCCGGCAACGGCGGCAGCACAUCGGGAGAUGGCACGAGGCCACUUGGUGCGAGGUGGAGAGACAAUUCAAGCAUCAGUCGAGGAGGUUCGGCGGGAUGCCGCAGGCACCUUGCUCAGCCGGCGGUGACGACGACGGGCACAGACGUCAGCGUGAACGACGGUGGCGUCGACCACUGUAACGCCCCGCUUUCCGCGUGACGUUAAAAGCUAAUUUACGAAAACCCUACUUGCGAAAAUUUUGUUCUUUGAGUGCUGAGUCUAAAGUCGUGCCGUAGAUCUCAGUCUAAAACUCUCCUUUGUCUCAAUUCCCGAUUGUCAAAUCAUCUACUCAAAAUCUCCAUCCAAAAUCAAUACUUGAACCUAUUGUAUUCAUAUCUCCCUUCUAAAACCUCUACCGAGAUAUUUCCCUUCAAAUAAUUUCCGUUUCGUUGUUUCCCCUAAGGUUUGAGUCCGCACUCAAAUCCUCUUCAUUUACUCCUUCGAAGGUUCCACGUUUUCAAAUCUUAGAACCGGUAAACCCUAAAACCUAAUCUACCUCUCACCUUUCGUUUUGAAGACAGUUUCGAAGUCCGAAUUCGUAUAUUCGGAUUUCGUUCCAAAAACACUAACCACAAAUAUCGUCGCAUCCAUGAAUCCAAUCUAGUCCAAGCAUUUACCUCGUAAAUCCUAAACCUUUCCCUUGAUCUCCCUCCCAUGAUUUUUCCAUAUUCCCCUAAACCUAAUUCCCCCAAAGUGAUCGCCCACCGAGAAUCCUCAAACCCUAACCCUAAUUCUCUCUAAUUUCAAUCCCGUAGCAGAAGUCUAGUUCACCUCCUCUCCAUCCUUGGGCCAACUUCUCUGCGAAGUCUGUUUUGCCUCCCUAGCUUGGCCCAACACUCCCCAGCCCAUCUUCCUCUCUCCUUUCCCUCUCCCACGCGUCCUCUGCCGAGCCCACCGAGCUAAUUUGUUUCGCGCGCUCGCGCGUGGUCGUGGCCGACCGCCAAGGAUGAUGCUGCCAUCACCCCUUACCGUCACUCUACCGCCUUGUCCUCGCUCCGCUCCACGCCCACUGCAAGAGUAGAAGUGAAAGAGAGGAGAGAGAGAGGAUGACUUGUGGAUCCCACAUUGUACUUUUCUUAAUAAGCCGUGAUGACUAGAGCAUGACAUAUGUGCAACAUCGGACCAAAACCAUCCAAAAACAAUGCUAGGGGAUAUCGUCCGGCUUCAAAAAUCCAUAGGUAUAGAAUGUCUUUACGAGGAUAAUCAAACUAAUGCAAUAAUUCAGGGUAAAUCUCAGACUUUAUAUAUGAUGGUUAAGACUAUAAUUUUUUAACUUGAAAUAAUCGAUAUACUAGAUCUGUAGUCAAUCAGAGGUUUAUCUUUAGUUAACUUCAAUCUGUAGUUAACUUGGUGGAUACAUGUGACUGGGGUAUAUCUUUUUAUAUUAUUGAAUCAAUCAGUAAGAGAUCCUCGCAAACUAUUUGAUUACUCGAGCGGAUACCUCUUGUUUGCUUAAAAACUAUUCAAAUAGUUAUGAAAUAAAAAUUUAACAACACUCAUACAACAUAUUUAUACAACUUCACAAAAUCUUAGGUCCAAGCUCAACUUACAUGUUGAGAUAUAAAAAGAUAAAUUCAACAUAUGGAUAUAGUAGCAUACUGUUCAUAUCUAAAUUUGUCUUUUUUUUUCAACGUAUAAAUCGAGUUUGAACUUAAUUUUUUAUUGACCGAUAGAUAUUAAUAUAGAGAUAUACUCUAUAUUAUUAUAUUUUUUUUAAAUUUGUUUAUAACUAUUUAUAUUGAAUUUAAAAGAAAAAGAUACGAGGAACGUCUCCUCGAUAAUUACAAUCCACUUAUGAGAUCUUUGCAAGCUUCUCCCGUGACGGUCAAGUCACGUCUCGUUUGUUUACAAGCUAGUCCUGGUCAUGUCAAGGUCUCCUGACUCCUGUAGAGUCCUUUUAAAAAGUUAUUUUUUUUUAAUGGAAGUCCAUUCAAAGUUUCAUUGAAAUCAGGCUGGCAAAACUGGAGGAGUCGACAAGAUAUUCCAUUCCAAGGCGCCACUUAAAGCUGGCCUAGUAGCUGGAGGCAAUCCGCAAGACGGAGACCCACUUCAAAGGGUGUGACCUAACAAAUUAGCAUUCCACGAAGCGACAACGCAGCACGGAGCAGUGGCGGAUCUAUAAAAUCGAUUUGUUGGUGUCAUAAUAAUGUAUGUAUCGGUAUCAUUGUAUGCUAACUAUGUUUAGAUCAUACUGUUAUAAUAUAUGGAUAAACAAUUUUGCUAUAGGUUUUAUCGAAAGUUGUCGGUGUCGCGGCGACACUUAUAUUGUAGAUCCGCCCCUGGCGCGGAGGCUGACGAGUCCUUUUUUGCUUUUAUUUUUGUCCCGAUGAUUUACUACUACUUCUAUGACAUUACUGUUAGCAGUGUUUUUUAUAAGGAUAAGAUAACUUUUAUUUUGGUUAUUUCUUCAUCCGACAAAGUGAUAGUAACAUUGUUUACAAAAUUCACAUAUCUCUUUUUUUUUAUAAACUAUAACAUAGAUAUAUAAAUUUUGUGAACAAUAUUACUAACAUUUUAUUGGAUGAAGAUAUGAUAAAAAUAAAAGUUAUAGAUCUUGAUGAGUUAUAUAACUUUGUUGUUGAUGACUUUUUUAGUUGAAAUCAUUUAGUAUUUGAAAAUAUUGUUUGAAGUUGUCAUAUUUUCAAAUUCAAAUUCAAACUAUUCAAAAAAAUAUAUAAGAAAUGACCAAAAUAAAAGUUAUAGUUCUUGAUGAGUUAUACAACUUUGUUGUUGAUGACUUUUUUAGUUGAAAUCAUUUAGUAUUUGAAAAUGUUGUUUUGAAGUUGUCAUAUUUUCAAAUUCAAAUUCAAACGGUUCAAAAAAAGUUGUAUAGAAAAAUGAUCAAAAUAAAAGUUGUAAAUCUUGAUAAGUUAUACAACUUUGUCGUUGAUAAUUUUUUUAUUUGAAAUAAUUUAUUACACGAAAAAUUAUUUUGACUAAUAAAACGAAUUAUUAUACUGCAGUUAAUUAUUUUGCUACAGGUCAACUCACAAAUAUAAACAUUUCGUAUGAAAAAUGGAAAAAAAGUCAUCGAUGACGGGCGUUAGUUAAAGCCCGAUAGAGGUUAAGUCAUCUCAAUCGGGCAUUAGUAUAGAGCCCGUCACGGAUGAGUUAUAUGCGACGGGCCUAGUUGUUAUCUCAAUCGGGCCCCAAGUUGGUGCCUGUCACGGAUGAUGGUCAUCUAUGACGGGCGCCAACUUGAAGCCCAAUUGAGACAUGGAAUGUUAUCUCAAUUGGAUCUAAAUUACGGCCCGUCACUGAUAGGUGUCAUCCGUGACGGGCCUGUGUUUUAUAUCCAUCUAACAUGUAUGUUCGAGCAUAUCUCAAUCGGGCUUUUUUCAGCUCGAUAGAGAUGACUUUCUUGAGACGACUCGCUAAUUUCAGACAUGUUAGAGUUCCAAGCAUGUUAGAGGCCGUCACAGAUAGAAGAUUCUGUACUCGUGGUAGUUUUUCUUUUUUUUUUCCACUCACCCUCAAAUAAAUAAUCUUUACUGCAUGAAACACUACGCGCACGAUAUGUAAUAUUUAUAUGCAAAUUGAACGUUGAAAAGUGGUCAAUUCAUAACCCUUCGUCACGCCGCAGAAGGAAAAUUAGUGGCAUACAGGCAUGCAUUUACGUACUUGAAAUAUUUUUUUGUCGAUUGGGUGGUGAGUGGCAAUGCCUGUCUACCACUACCCUACCGUUACGCACACAUACCUCAUGUUCAUUAAUUUAUGCCGUUUCCAUUUAACAUCUCUACUUCCUAAGGAAACAGACUGACUGACAAAUAGGACAUGCGAUUUUGUUUUAAUCUUCAGCAUAUGACUUUGACAAUAAAUUUAGCCUCCAAUGGAAAAAAAAUUCAACUCUGAACUCUGAAGCAAAGCAGGACGACCCGGCCGGUCGACCACAACUCUGCAGUAUAUUGGCGCCAACCUUUUCUACGCGAAUCUUUUCACCUCCCCAACUUGAUCAAUGCUGGAUCAACUUAGAACAUGAGAUCAUAUGGUAGUAAAUUCACAAGAGUGAUCAUCACUUGCUGUUUUAAAAUAUUGGUAGCUCGAUCAGCUCGAUGCAUGUGUUCUGAUUGGAACAAACUCUCUGACUUAUAUUAUUGUUCCUCUGAAACUCUGACUACAUUAUUGUUCUUGUGAAAGGACAGCAUGCGAAGCUUCUCUGACAGUAGCUUUACUACGAGAUGGGCUAGAAGAAGAUGAUCAGAUAACAAAACAAAAGUUGCUGGCGAUGGUGGCUGGGGAAUCUUCUCCUGUUAACUUUCUGAAUCGUCAGAGCAGCAGUGUUGCCAUCUUUGGAUGCUUGUGUUGUUGUAGCCACUAAUCGCUGCAGGAGCGCAUGCGAUUGAGUGCCAAAUAAUGUAAUGACACUUUGGAUUCUUGUGGCCUGACAUAGCACGCUCAUCUCAUCAGCUCAAUCAUUCAUGAACAUGUAUGUAAGUUUAUGCAUUUUUGUGUAUCUGCAUAUCUGUAUUUAUGUGUGUAUAUCUCUCUGUAGACUGUACUUGAGUGAUUCGCUUUCUUCAGAAUAAUGUAUGGUGCUUUACACUGUGUAUGUCGUUCCUGUGGACUGUGUUCUUCCUCAUGGCUGUUCUUUGUCUUGAUAAGAGAACUCAUCUGUGUGCCUUUUUUGUUUUGUAUGUUUGCUAACAAGUAGUACCAACUAAUUAAUACUACCUCCGUACUUGAGUGAUUCGCUUUCUUCAGAAUAAUGUAUGGUGCUUUACACUGUGUAUGUCGUUCCUGUGGACUGUGUUCUUCCUCAUGGCUGUUCUUUGUCUUGAUAAGAGAACUCAUCUGUGUGCCUUUUUUGUUUUGUAUGUUUGCUAACAAGUAGUACCAACUAAUUAAUACUACCUCCGUUUUUUAAUAGAUGACGCCGUUGACUUUUUCUCACAUGUUUGACCAUUCGUCUUAUUCAAAAAUUUUAUGCAAAUGUAUAAGAUAUAAAUCAUACUUAAAGUACUAUGAGUGAUAAAACAACUCAUAACAAAAUAAAUUAUAAUUACGUAAAUUUUUUGAAUAAGACAAAUGGUCAAACAUGUGAGAAAAAGUCAACGGCGUCAUCUAUUAAAAAAUGGAGGGAGUAAUUGUUAGUUUGUCACUGUGAAGAUUGGGAUAUGAUGAAUGACAGUGAGAAACUGGACUGGCAAAUCCUCGUGUGCCUCUGUUUGGCGCCAAACCAUCGAACUGCCCGGGGUUCCUUUGUUUGAGCUGCCUUAAAACAUUAUGUAAAUUGUAAAGUGCGAUAUGAAGAUCUUUAUAGUGUAAAAUUUGAUGUCUCUCGGUAUAUUAAGCUAAAAAUUAUUGUCUUUUGGUACCUCUGGAAAACUGUAAAAUUUCUAUGUAAAAUUAGCAUAAUAAACUCAAUGGAAUUGAAUUCUAAUCCCUCGAGCAAAUAUUUGCUAUAUGCUUCCCAUUCAUAAAUGGAAUACAAGUAGUUAAGAGUGCGUAUUUAUUAAAAAAAUUAUAUAUUUUCACUGAAAAAAAAUCCAUCUCUGAUAGUCAACUGCCCAGUAGUGGUAGUGCUACCUAUCCAAGAGUGCAAAGGCAUAUGAACAGAUCCAACCUAAUUGGGCCUAGUUAAUAAUCAAUAGCUGUACUACUAGAAUUCGCAUCGAGAUUCUCUUCUCUAGCUACCACCCAUUUUCAGUGCUACAAAUUAAAUAGCCAUAUGCAUGCCCUAAUUAAGUAAUUAAUUAAAUCGAUACUCCCUCCAUACUUGUAAAAGAAGUCGUUUAGGACAUCGACACGAUCUCUAAAACACAACUUUGACUUCUUAUUUCUAUAAAAAUACUUAUUGAAAAAUGAUAUACGUAUAUUUUUAUGAAAGUGUUUUUCACGACAAAUCUAUACAUAUAAUUUUUACAUUUUCAAACUCAACAACUUGAGAGUUAUUCAUGUUUUAUAUUCCUAAGGUUUGACUUAAAUAUUGUCCUAAACGACUUUCUAUAUCCGAUAAGUAUAUGAGAGUAUCCGAUACGUAUCUAUAUCCAAUAUGCUAGUUUUUAGAAGUAUUCAGGUGACAUACGUAGUAGGUAGCUAGUCGUGAGCCAUGGACAAAUAUAUUUCCACAUGCAUGCACGGCAGUGGUCAGAAAAAUUCCAACAAAUUAGAAGAGGAGCUAAACUAAUUGCCAUAUUUCAACUUUCUCUUGUCUUACAAGGUGGACUUGGCACAUGUGCGCACGUCCCGCCAUAAUGCCACCUAAAUCCGGCCAACAAUUUUUGACAGUCUUAUUGUCUUAGGCCCAAGUGUUCAACCUUAAGAUCAUCCACUAUCACAAGUGGAGGAUUAAUUUGUAUGUGUCCAGGUCCAUAAUUCUUCCUCAUGCCAUCCAAGUUUCGUUCCUUUUCGGAGAAGGAAUUAUAUAUAUUAAUUUCACCCUAAGACAACACGAUCACUAUCAAAUUGCAAGUUGUGAAACUGUGUGAAACUUCGCAGAGCCCCUGUUAAUUGGACAUGCAGGCUGCUAAUAUGACCAGAUGUAAUACAGUGUGGUUGAUACCGAUCGAUCUCGGCCGUUGAGAAACAGUGAAACUUUGCAGUAACCCAGGGAUUCGGAUCCUCUGCAUUACCGCAGAGAGGCACUGUAGCCACAGUGAUAUGUGAGGGGAACAGUGUGUCAAUGCACAGAACACUACCGCUACAGUGAUGAUUUACUGUAUCUACAGGGAUAAAAUUGAUAAAAGUUCGCCGCGCGAGUUACGGAGUGAUUUUUUUUUGUCACGAACGCACCCAAUGCACUUCAAUAUGUCCAAAAAAUCAUGUUUUGGUGUUUUUUAAACUUUUUCAUUCUGGUAAAAAACAUCGCACCCACGUGUGCCAAUAUAUAUCAAUAUUGACUUUAAUUGACAAAGGUUAGCCGCGCGGGUCACGGAGUUUUUUUUUUUUUUUGCCACGAAAGCACCCAAUAUACUCCAAUAUAUCCAAAAAUCAUGUUUUUGUGAUUUUUGAACUUUUUUAUUUCAAUGAAAAACAUCAUAUCCACGUAUGCCAAAUAUAAAUUAAACACCAUAACAAGAUCUUAGCUAAGGUAGCUAACACGGACUCUUUUUAUAUAUAUCUUGGACAGUACGUACUGUCAGUUAAUUAAUCCAAUUGAAUGAUGAAUUAAUGAAUACACAAGAUGAAUAAAAGGUUUGAAAAUGGAAGUGGUGACGCGCGCGGCAGCUCCUUGCUGACGGACCAAGAUUACGCAAUAAAAAGCGAGGAACGACACAGGCCUAGACUGGUUGGAAUUAAUUAAGGUUUGUAACAGCAAUAAUGCAAUAGUUAAGUAAGUUUUUCCUUGAUGCAUGUUAACCAUUUCGACGGAAGUCGGUCAAUGAUGAAGUUGAGGUGUUGGGUUAUGAAGGGACAUUUUUUUUUUUGCGGGAAAGGAGAUUAUAUUACUGAGAAACUAGCUAGCUCCUCGUUAACGAGGAGAGAGUUAAAAAAUUACAGCUAUUAUCAGACCAAAAGCCCUUAUUGGCUAAAGUAUGGCUACAACCAUUUUGACUUGGGUGAAUCUUCUUGAUGAAGGGACAAAUUAAUUGAUGUACGUAGAAAGAGGCACGUUGGCUAAAUAUAUAACCAGCUAGCUGCAACGGAAAAGGUUGACUAACUUGCGAUUCGUUAAUUAAAUGGUGCAUGAAUCUGGAUCGCCAACAGCUAGCGUAACAUGCAUGUAGAUUCCAUCCAUCGUGUGCCCCGGCCGCAUAUAUAUAGACAUGCAUGCAUGCUAGCUGAUCAGUAUGUGCAGAUCUGCUAUAAGCUUAAGCUCAGCUUAAUUAGCCACGGUACGUAGUUUGUACAGAAAUGGCGGUGAAGAAACACAACGUCGCCAUGCAAUUACAAGUGGUAGUACUGUGGCUUGUAGGAGUAGCAUUAUUUUCUGUGAUGGCGUCGUCCGCUCCGGCGGCCGUAGCGGCAGCACCGCCGCCCGCGGAGUGCCCGAGCAAGUGCGGCGACGUCGACAUCCCCUUCCCCUUCGGCGUCGGCGACGACUGCGCAUGGCCGGGUCCAGAUGACUUCAACGUCACAUGCAACCAUAGCUUCAGCCCACCCAGACCCUACUACGGCAACAUAGAGAUCAGGGACAUCUCGGUGGCGGCGGGGGAGAUGCGUGUGUACACUCCCGUGGUCUACCAGUGCUACAACACAUCCGACCACGUCGACUCUUCAACCAGCUUCCUGCAGCUCAACAUCACCGACUCGCCGUUCCUGGUCGCUCCGGGGAGAAACGAGUUCACGGCCAUCGGCUGCGACACGUUGGCGUGGCUGCAGGGCAGGGAUGACUGGAGCUUCUUGACCGGCUGCAUCACGACGUGCGUGAGCUUAGACGAGGCUGCCCACGACGGCGAGCAGUGCUCCGGGCUGGGUUGCUGCCAGGUGCCUUCCAUUCCGCCCAACCUUGCCCUCGUAGAGCUGAAUUGGGGGAACUUAACAAAAAACUAUGCAUGGAGAUACAGCCCAUGCAGCUACGCCUUCGUGGCUGAGAAAGCAUGGUAAGUUAAAUAGUAGUAAUAAAGAAAAUCUAGCUAUCAACUCUGGUAACACAAUUACUACUCCAUAUGCAUUGGUGCUAAUAUUAGUAUAGGGACAAUUGCGUUUUUACCCUAUUUUAAGGACUAACUACUAAUUUGGUCCUGCUUUUUUAGUUGACCCUCUUUUUUAUAAAUGAAGGCGAGACUUGGCCCUACUCUGGGAAGUCAACAUGACGGUGUUAACUUAAGACAAAUGUUUCAUUUAUACCCUUGUGAAUUUAACCCAGUUUCUUAAAGUUUUUUAUUCAAUGCAGUUUUGUGCACUUAUUACUAUAUAUUAAAUUGCCUCAAACACAAAUAUGGCACGGAUUUAUGUCUACCAAAAAAAAGAAAAGAAAAAAAAAACAUGCCACCCCUCCUCCUCGUAGUCGAACUGCCGCCGCCGCCGCUCCUCUUCGUCGAGCCGCCGCCAUCCCUCCCAUGCCGCCGCCGCCGCCGCAGCCACUCCUCCACCUUGUCAAGCCGCCACCAACCCUCCUAUUCAUUUAGCCACCGCCGGACGGCAGCCAUUGCACAAGGAGAGCAGCGGGAGGAAGUUCCUCUAAGGCCGCCGCCGCCGCUCCCUCCCUACACAAGCCGGCGUCGCCUCGCCGCUCCCUCCCUCCGCGAGCCAGCGCCGCGCGGAUCCCCUCCCUCCACGAGCCGCCGCCGACGCCAGCACUCGGAGAGAGAGAGAGAGAGAGAGAGAGAGGGGAUACGGGGGAGAGACGGGAUAGAUAAGGAUAGGGUUUGUUCGAGGGUAUUUUGGUCAUUACGAAAUGUAAUUAUAUUUCUUUCUUUUUUUUAAAAUGAAAACUUAACGGUGCUAUGAAAACAUGGUCAAACGGAGUGUUUGUUUUAAAAAAGUAGGGUCAAAUAAACAAACUAGAAAAAAUAGGGUCAUAUUAGUAGUUAGGCUUCAAAACAUAGUAAAAAAGCAAUUGUCCCAUUAGUAUAUGUUGAUUUAGGCACCACAUUUAUAAAUUAAACUAUGGUAGUUUAUAGAAUUUAGAGCAGAUAUAAGCGCAUCCUUCUUCUACUUACUUUAAUAAUAAUUUUAUAAAUAUUUCUGGUGAACCCUACAUUCAUUUUCAUAUUUUUAAUUACAUAUAAUUUAUGCAUAGAAGAAUGUUAUAUUAUUUUGUGAAUAUAUAUUUCUGUUCUUAUUAUAUACUAUUAUAUAUAGCACACUCAAAAGAAAGAGAGAGAGAAAACAAUAUAUCAUAUGCGGGCGUGAUCUAUUGGGGCGGGGUGUGGUAAGGAAAUUACAGUUUGCAUUGUGUUCUCUCCGUAGUUUUUCUCAAAGGCAUGUAUAUGUUAUCACGUGAAACUAUUUAUACUUCUUUAAAAGAUCUAAAUGGUGGUGUUGAGUGUGGUGAAUUUGACACCACCACCAUUAUGUGGGUCCCCGCAAAUAGUGAGGUAGGUGGACUUUUGUCCAUUUCCUAACCUCAAGCCAUCAAACAUGAAGUUUUUUUUUUGAGUGAGAUAAAAAUGAUUAAAAUAAUAUGACCUAAAUAUUUUACAAUGAGAAUAGCUUUAUUUUAAUUUUGGAGGUUUAAAGUGUACGGUGAGGCUCUCAUAUUUAAUUUCCAUUGUAACAUGGAACGGAGGGAGUAUCAUUCAUGGAAAUUGUGGAGUUGGCAACUUACUGAGGAUAGAUGUAGAUAUCUGACCCAUUUUCACUCCCUACUCAACAAACUGGACUGUUUAGCUAGGGCACCCAUUGAGUUUACUGAUGCACAUAUAUAUAUUAUAAUAUAUAUAGGUACAAAUUCAGCCGUGGAGAUUUUAGCCGUGCCGGUAGCAAGAGCUUUAUGAAUCGUGCUGGAGACAGAAGUGUCGUUACAGUGCUUGAUUGGGCUAUCAGGAGCGACGGAUCGUGCUCGUCAACAUCGCGGGUCGCUCCUGCCUGUGUCAGCCCCAACAGCUACUGCGUCAACACCACCAACGGACAGGGAUAUCUUUGCAAGUGCUCCCCGGGAUAUGAUGGCAAUCCCUACGUCACCGGUGACAGUGGGUGUACAAGUUAGUCUUUUUAAUCAAUUAUGUUUAGUUAGUCUUUUAAUUUCCGGCUCUAUAUUGAUAUGCAUGCAUGCAUGGACUAAUAUUAAUUUCCUUCAUUGGCAUGAAUGAAUUAGUUACUACUUCUUGUAUGUAGGAGUACGUUGUAAUCUUUGCUGAAUUUGCUCGUAUGGGAUUGGUUAAUAUGUUUAAUUAUACUAUUUAGUAUUUCAUCACCAAUUAUUAUAUGUGCAGAUAUUAAUGAAUGCAAGCUUAGAAGAGAAGACCCUGCCAAGUACAGUGAACUUUAUCCAUGUUACGGUGGUAGCAAAUGCCAUGACACAGAGGGUGAUUACAGGUGCAAAUGCCGUUUGGGACGUAGAGGGGACGGCAAAAUCGAUAAUGGAUGUCAACCCAUAAUUCCCCCACCUGUAAUUGGGAUUCUUGGUGAGCCAUGACCAUUGUUCAUACUUAUAGCGUUUUUUAAUAGAAAUUAGAGUAAAUUUUAGAAAACCUCACGCUUUUAUGAUCAAGGUUAAAUAAAGCCACAUAUAUUAUGAUGCGUGUCACAUAAUCUCACAGGUUUAAUGUAUGAUCUUUGUGUUUUAUAAUAAGACUUCACCUUUAUUAAAAUCUUGAUUAAUUACAGUAUAUAUAUUUGAAACAAUUUUUUCACAGUAGCGAAGAGAUAAACUAUAUAUCAACCAUACUCAAGAACAUAAUAAUUUAAAGUUUUAUAUACACCAUAUGUUUUCAACUUUAAGUAAAUUCAUGCUCAACAUGCAUAAAGAUAGGGUUUUAUGAAACUUUAGAGCCAUAAUACAUAGAGUUAAAGUGCCACAAGUCAUAAUACAUGUGGUUUCGACAACUUCAGCUAUGUAUAAAACAUGAAGUUUUUGAAAUUUACUCAAAUAAUCAAUGUAUUAUGACUUAAGUUGUAGCUAGUUACUCCCUCCGUCCCAUAAUAUAUGGGAUUUUGAGUUUUUAUUUGCACUCUUUGAUCACUCGUCUUAUUCAAAAAAUUUUGGAAUUAUUUUUUUUAUGACUUGCUUUAUUAUCCAAAGUACUUUAAGCACAACUUUUCGUAUUUUAUAUUUGCACAAAUUUUUUGAAUAAGACGAGUGGUCAAACAGUGUAAACAAAAACUCAAAAUCCCUUAUAUUAUGGGACGGAUGGAGUAGUUAGUUAAGUAGUUAGUUAAAGCGUCAUCAUUUAAUAUUGCCCCUACUUAAGUAUAGCUAGUUAGUUAUAUAUGUAUGUAACGUAGCUAAUAUAUUGAUUAAUGGUGCUUUCUCUAAUCUAUACUUUCUAUAGAGUUAAAAGGCCAAUAAAUCUAAAGCUCAAUAUGCAACCAUACCACACCAUCAUCCACUAGCAAUAAUUACAUAUUUAAUCUCAUACAAGCAUACAACAUGAUCUACAAUUUUUUUAAUUCUAGAAAUCAAAAUACAAGCAUAUUCAAUCAUCACCCCUCAUAUCAUUUGCAUAAUAUUUUAACAAAUCUAUCUAUCAACUUUAUAAUAUUUAACAUGUACUUAUCAAUAUCAAUAUGUUUCACACUAAAGCACGGGUAUCAUUUGACUGAUAAACCUUGAUGUUUCAUUAUUUUCUUUUCUUUUUUACACCUAGGUUGAUUGUCAAAAAAAAAAUAUUGAGAAUUGCUUAGUAAUUCCUGCAGCAAAUCACGGGGAAUCACCUAGUUACUUAUAUGUUUAAUUGGUUUGUUUGCAUUUGCAGUGAUAGCCGGUGUUGUGCUAUUUGGUUUGGUCCUUGUGUGCUUACGUAAGAAAUGGAAGCUUAAAGGGUGCUAUGACCGUAAUGGUGGCCAAAUGCUAGAGAAGACGAGCGUUAAAAUCUUUACAAAGCAGGAAUUGGACAAGAUAACUAACAACAAAAGCAACAAGAUAGGGAAAGGCGCCUUCGGUGUGGUCUACAAGGGAACCCACGACGAUCAGCCGGUCGCCGUCAAGUACUCCAUCGAAAAGAGCAUAUCGCGGACUCGUGGCAAGGAUGAGUUCGUGAAGGAAAUCACGGUGCAACUUCAAGUCAGCCACGACAACCUGGUGUGCCUCAUUGGUUGUUGCCUCGAGGUGGAGGUCCCUAUGCUGGUCUUCGAGUUCGUCCCUAAUGGUAGCCUCGAGAGCGUCCUUCAUGGGGCAGAGCGGUGCGCUCUCCCGCUGCUGAAACGGCUGGAUAUUGCCAUUGGCUCUGCGAAAGCUCUUACCUACAUGCACUCGCAUUCCCGCCGCUGCAUUUUUCAUGGUGAUAUCAAACCUGCCAAUAUUCUCCUUGACGACAACCUUAUGCCUAAAGUCUCCGACUUUGGGUCAUCAGAGUCCGUAUUGAAAACCAAGCACCGAAGCGUGUGUGCCGACAUGGGCUACAUAGAUCCUGUGUAUAUGGUAACAGGCAAUUUUAGACUGAAGAGUGAUGUCUACAGUUUCGGUAUCGUGGUCUUAGAGCUCAUCACCCGAAAGAAGGCCGUGUACGAUGGGAAAAGCCUUCCGAUAGAAUUUACCAACUGUUACGAGGAUGAUAAUGCCAGAAGGAAUAUGUACGACCAGGACAUAUUGUCUGCAGAGGCUCUACAACCUCACUGCAUGGAGUGCCUCGACAGAAUGGCCGGCAUUGCUGUCCAGUGCCUUGAAUACAACAUAGACAAGAGGCCGACUAUGGCGGAGGCGCUACAGGAGCUUAUCCAAUUGAGAGCAAAGGUUGCAGGAAAAUGAAUGCAAGGUCCGAUGUUCAGACAACCCGUAUGUUGAUAGUUUCGCUUUGUAUCGUCGUUAAUUUAUUAUCAUAUCCCCCAGCAAAUGUCGACGUUGGUUUGAGUUGACCAACGGGUCAUUUUAAUUUAUCUUUUUGGCGGGGAAGUGUCGUUUUAAUUAGUAUGUGUACCAUUUACCAACAAAGUGGCAAUUAAAAGCAAAAAUAAAUUAAGCAGCAUAGUAAGAAAGUUUUCAUCCGAUCAAGCAUAUAUAUAUAUAUAUAUAUAUAUAUAGGCAACAUAUCCUAUGCACACAGGCCAUCACGUGUACACACGUGCACACCAACUAAAAAAUGUCACCAAAAAAUCUAGAAAAAAUCAUACACAUACUUUCAAUUGUAUUACACCUAGGGUUAAAAUCUUAACGUCAAAUUCAUUAUAUUUUAGCCGUAACAAAAAAAACAAAAAAUCUGACAGUUUUAAGGUUGCAAUUUUGUCAGAAUUUUAUCUUUUUUGUUAUUCUCUAUGUAGAAUGAAUUUGAAGAUGCGACUUUGCACGUAGAUGUAAUACUAUUGAAAGUACAUGUAUGAAUUUUCCUAGAAUUUUUUGUGAUAAUUUUUAGUUGGUGUACAUGGUGUGUACACGCGAGGGCCUGUGUGCAUAGGAUACGCUCCCAUAUAUAUAUACCUCCCAUACCAAACCAUGGCAUAUUUCAUUUAGUGGAAUGUUACGGUCCUUCAUAUAUAUAAAAGGAGGUCUCAAAUUAAUACUGUACGUCCAUUUAGCAAAUCAUUUUUGAUCGUUAGAUCUAGCAAUGACUAUCCUGUCCAGCUAAAUCCAACGAUCGGAAAUACCUUGAGAUAUUUUUUGCUAGACCAGAUCAAAUCUCAUAAUUUUAGCUAUAGCGAUAGCUGAUGCUUGCAUCAGCUGCUGGACCUGACUUGGCCCGCCCAGGGGGUAAUGGGCAACAGACUUGGGCCAAUGGGCCGAAAUCUUCUGGCCCAAGAAGGAGGAUCAGCAACCCAAUUAGCCAACUUGCUCGAGCAUGCAUAUGCAUGCAAAGUAAAUUAACAUCUCAAUCAACAGGACACAUUUAAUUCUGUCAACUUAUUAUUAUAUUGAUGUCAUUGGCCACGAUAGAGAUGCUCGCUCUGCGUGCUUCAGAUUUAACUACUUAAUUCCACACCAUCUACUAGCUUUGACCCCCAAAGAUCAAAGACAGCCAAAGCUUGGGAGUACAGUAUUCGAAGAUCUGAGAUGUCCUAUAUGAAUUAAUUUAGUCUUGCCUUGUCGCCUUGGUGUAAUAUCAUGCAUGGCUACUUACACUUCUUUACUUAAUGGUAUGUUCAAUUACAUUAAUUGAUCUGCUUGUUGUCUCAUAAAAAUAUUCACUGCUCUUCUUAUGCAUGCAUCUGCUUCAAUUACUACAAAUACUAUGAUUUAAGUGUAUCUAGAUUUCUAGAAUUCCCCGUCUUGUCAAGGUUGAUAGAUGGAUACUCCUCAUUUUAGAAUACCCGUCAUUCUAGCGUUCAAAUUAUAUAUCAAAAUACUUGUCAUUCUCAUAUUUCAUCAUAGCAUGUUUAUAUUUCAUCAUAGCAUGUUUAGAGAGGUGAAGUUCCUAGCUUCCUUGCUUUUCAUCUUGGGCAAUUGCAAAUUUACCGCUACUUUAAAUCGUUAUUACAAGACUGUCACUACAAAAUUGCAAAAAUGACACUAGAACUGUUAUUCGAGUGGCAUCCUUACAACAUUAAAAAAACGGUGGCAAAUUUGCAAAUGCCCCUCAUCAUCAUCAAAUGUAACCAUGUGCAGCUGUUAAUCACAAUUGACAGCUACUGUAAAGAACUAUUCGGAUGUCCUUAAUGAGGGUAAUGAUGUAAUUUGUCAUAUCCCCUGUUUGAUCUGUAACGGAGAGGUAUCUGUUUUCCUUACUCAACUUAUUAACACGGGAAAAUGUGUUCUCACGGCAUAGUUUCGCUGAAUAUAUAUACACACACACAGUAAUAAGCAGUUUCCAGUUCUUGUAAGGUCUGGAGUGUUAUGGGUCACUUUUUCUUUCCAAUUGGAGGCACGUUCAAGAACACAUGGGUUCUUAAUAUAGUACACUUAAUAUAAUGAGCUCUAGAUCUAGAUAGACGGACGAUGGGCGGACCUGGAGCACAGCGUCAUAAGGGGAUAGGCUAGCAGCAGCAGGCAAUGUGUGGAUCCAGUGGCCAUGAUUGGAUUUAUAUUGCUGAAUUGGUGAAUUUUAGGGACUAUAUUGGAUUUCGAUUUUAUUUUAUUUUUGCUCCAAAGAUAUUAGCGAAUGCGAGUCUCUUAUCAGGGCCGCGUACGAAAAUCAAUUUUCAUUUGCGUCGAGGGAGGCACCUAUGAAAAAGAUUGAUUUUCACAUGCGGUGUGUCCAUCUGCUGCCAGCUGCAAAAUCCAUUUUGGCCGUAUAAAAAUAAAUUUGAUAGUAGCCGGUACUGAUAUAAAUUAAACACCAUAACAAGAUCUUAGGUAGCUAACACGGACUCUUUUUAUAUAUAUCUUGGACAGUACUGUCAUUUAAUUAAUCCAAUCGAAUGAUGAAUGAAUACACAAGAUGAAUAAAAGGUUUUAAAAUGGAAGUGGUGCCGCUAGUGACGCACGCGGCAGCUCCUGUUGCUGACGGACCAAGAUUACGCAAUAAAAAGCAAAGAAGGACUCAGACCUAGACUGGGUUGGAAUUAAUUAAGGUUUGUAACAGCAAUAAUGCAAUAAUUAAGUAAGUUUUUCUUUGAUGUUAACCAUUUCGACGGAAGUCGGUCAAUGAUGAGGUUGAGGUCUUGGGUUGUGAAGGGACAAAUUGAUGUACAUGUACUUAUAGAGAGAGGCACGUUGGGUAAAUAACCAGCUAGCUAGUUGCAAUAGUAUAGAAAAGUAAGUUUUGACUAAUUAAUUAACUUGCGAUUAAUUGGUGCAUAUGAAUCUGGAUCGCCAACAGCUAGCGUAACAUGCAUGUAGAUUCCAUCCAUCGUGUGCCCCGGCCGCAUAUAUAUAGACAUGCAUGCAUGCUAGCUGAUCAGUAUGUGCAGAUCUGCUAUAAGCUUAAGCUCAGCUUAAUUAGCCACGGUACGUAGUUUGUACAGAAAUGGCGGUGAAGAAACACAACGUCGCCAUGCAAUUACAAGUGGUAGUACUGUGGCUUGUAGGAGUAGCAUUAUUUUCUGUGAUGGCGUCGUCCGCUCCGGCGGCCGUAGCGGCAGCACCGCCGCCCGCGGAGUGCCCGAGCAAGUGCGGCGACGUCGACAUCCCCUUCCCCUUCGGCGUCGGCGACGACUGCGCAUGGCCGGGUCCAGAUGACUUCAACGUCACAUGCAACCAUAGCUUUACCCCUCCCAGACCCUACUACAGCAACAUGGAGAUGAAGGACAUCUCGCUGCCGAAGGGGGAGAUGCGCGUCUACACUUCCGUGCUGCAAAACUGCUUCGACUUGUCCAACACCAGCAGCAGCUCCGAGUCCGACGUAGGCUCGCCAUGGCUCGACCUCGCCGGGACGCCGUUCCUUGUGUCGCCGGAGAGGAAUGAGUUCACGGCCACCGGGUGCGACACGCUGGGGAUGAUGUACGGCAGGGAGGACGGGAGCUACUUGACCGGCUGCGUCACGACGUGCGCGAGCUUGGAUGCCGCCGCCAACGACGGUGACCACUGCGCGGGGCUGGGUUGCUGCCAGAUCCAGUCCAUCCCUACAAACCUUACCUUGCUAAGGAUUGUGCUGUCGGCCAACAUCACCGACAGGAAGAUUGCUGCGUGGAACCCAUGCCGCUACGCCUUUAUAACCGACCGAGACGGGUACGUGCUUACUACCUCCUUCUUAGAAUAUACUCCCUCCGUUCCUAAAUGUUUAACACUGUUGACUUUUUAAAACAUAUUUGAUCACUUGUUUUAUUCAAAAACUUUUAUGAAAUAUGUAAAACUAUAUGUAUAUAUAAAAGUAUAUUUAACAAUGAAUCAAAUGAUAGGAAAAUAAUUAAUAAUUACUUAAAUUUUCUGAAUAAGACGAACGGUCAAACAUGUUUAAAAUAGUCAACGGCGUCAAAAAUUUUAGGAUGGAGGGAGUAGAAUGUAUUUUGUUUCGUUAGUAUAUGAUAUAUUAUACUUUAUGACGCAAAAAUGAAUAUAUUAGAUUAUCAAAAGUAUUUACUUAAUUAUGAUAUAGUAUUAUACUUUAUUAGCAUAUAAAUGAUAUCCUCAUAGAAUAAUUGUUGAUCAAAGUCACACAUACCUAUCAAUAUCUUAAAAUGUAUUUUAAUAAAAUCGUAUAUUUGUUGAUAUUUCUAUAUAUAUUGGAAUAGAAAAUAAUGGUCAAAGUUUUUGGCACCGUGUUCUUGUUCAAGACAAUAAUUAUUUUUUAAUCUGGAGGGAGCAUAUGGAUUGAGAAGUUCAUUCCUCAAAGGUUAUGCACAUACUUUUCCGUACUCGUAAAGGAAGUCGUUUAGGAUAGCAACACGGUCUCUAAAACACAACUUUGACUUCUUGUUUCUACAAAAAUAUUUACUGAAAAAUGAUAUAUGUAUACUUUUAUAAAAGUAUUUUUCAAGACAAAUCUAUUCAUAUAAUUUUUACAUUUUCAAACUCAACAACUUAAGAGUUAUUUAUGAUUUAUAUUUCUAAGGUUUGACUUAAACAUUAUCCUAAACGACUUCCUUUAUGAGUACAGAGGGAGUAUGUACGUUUAUGACAAGUUCUGAAAACAUUAAAUUGAUGACCCUUGUAAAAUACUAUCCCAAAUUAAGGACUAAAAUGACCCAGGAGCGAAACUUUAAGGACCAUAUUAACUAUUCUCCUUAUAUUAUGCAUGCCAAUAUCUCUAGCCAUACAUAUAUAGUAUGUAGCUAUUCAUAGUAUGUUAUGUUUACUAGUUUCAAACCAUCCAUUAUAAUUAGGUACUAUAUAUUAUUUAUUAAAAAAUAUUUAGAAUUUAAUAGUUUAUAAGAAAUUUAACUUUUUUUAAUGUAAUACCUUAUUGUUUCAAUUAUAUUUGUUAAUUAUUAAUUCAAAAUUGUUCUACGGGACAUUCACGACGAUGGCUGACAGGGAUGAUCAAUUUGACGGUUUUGUGCCAUUCCUGAUGUUAAAAACCGUGAGGAAAAAAAUAUCUUUCUGGUAGAAUAUACCCACAGCAAUGUGCAUAUGGCAUCCUGUAGAUACACACGUAUGAGUACCGCAAAAAAUGACAUUUUUUCUCCCUUUAUUUCUUAAUAUAAUUAUUAUUUAAGUAGAAUUAUAUAUAAAUAUACAAAUUUAGAGACGGCAAGAAAAUUUGUACCAACAUAUAGCAAAACUAGCUAGUGAGAUGCGCUAUUUUCUCAAGACAUAAUAUGCCUAGUGCCAUUUUAAUUAAUUAAUUGACUAAUUAACGAAUGGCCCACCAAGAUAUUUGAUGCAGAAGGCAAUCGAUAUCUGAAAAAUAUAUAUCCGAUCGAGUAAUUAAACAUACUAUUUCAAUAUUAAGAUCUAGGAUUUUGUUUUUAAUCAGGCAAUUCAGGUACAAUUUUAGCCGGAAGGAUUUGGGUCGCUCAGGCAACAAGAUAUUUGCAAACCGGGACGGCGAGAUGGUCGUCCCUACGGAGCUUGACUGGGCCAUCAGGGGAACAAAUAGGUCAUGCUCUGUCUGCGUCAGCGACCAAAGCGACUGCGCCAAUGCCACUAACGGAGACGGGUAUCUCUGCAAGUGCUCCGAGGGAUACGACGGCAAUCCCUAUCUCAAAGGCAAUGGCGGAUGCACAGGUUAGUUCUUAAUUAAAUUUCCUUAAUUCUCCAUCAUGGAUUAUACUCCUAUAUCAUUACUAGUACAGUAUCACUCAUUGACAAUAUAAUAUGACGAUUAUUUAAAUUUACUGUUUUACCAUUGAUACAUGUGCUGCAUGCAGAUAUUGACGAAUGCAAGGAACCAGAUCGUUGUUCUACUGGCAGCAGAUGCCAUAACACAGAGGGUUAUUAUUAUUGCAAAUGCCGUUUUCCACGUAGAGGGGAUGGCAAAGUUAAUGGCAAAGGAUGCCACCUUCCCAAAUAUAUAGUCCCGACGCUUGGUACGUAAAUAAGCGUUAAUUAAUUAUUCUCCGCACUUAUUACUAUAGCAUUACAUUACUAAAGUCUGAUUUAAGAAACACCCUAAAGUUCUUUCGGCUAGCUCCACAAAGUGGUGGGCUAGCUAGUUUGGGUCUGAAGCUCUAUCCCUACAGUUUAGUUGAUAUUAGAUCCUUCCCUAACAUUCGCAGUGCAGUCUGAUUUGAAUCAAUGGCUCAUUCUUUCAAUUGAUCAUUUGAUUUGUCUGCAUAUAUAUAUACAGCGACGGUGUGCUCUGUGAUUUCUCUUACGGUCCUUGUGUGCUUGUAUAAGAGACGGAAGAGAAGAAUGUUUGCCAACAACAAUGGUGGCCGGCUGCUCAAGGAUAUGAACAUCGUCCUCAUUACGGAGAAAGACCUAAACAAGAUGACAAAGAAUAGGAGCACCAAGAUCCUCGGAGAGGGUUCCUUCGGCAAGGUCUACAUGGAAACCCACAAGAACCAGCCGGUUGCCGUGAAGUACUCCAAGGGAAAGCGCAAGCUGGCACAGACGACGCAUGGCAAAGACAUCAAGUGCAUGAACAAGAACAUGUUCCAAAACGCCUUUUGUUGGUCCAAAGUUCCAUCCUCGCCGGAAGAAGAUUCGUCGUCACGAGUGUCCGGCCCGGAGUUAGUGGACGAGCUAAGGGUCCAGUCACUAAUCCAGCACGAAAACGUGGUCAGUCUCGUUGGAUGCUACAUAGAGACGGAGGAACCCACGUUAAUCCUUGAGUUUAUCCCAAACGGGAGCCUCGAGAAAAUGCUUCAUGGAGAUGACCGGCGCCCCCUCUCGCUAUUAAUUGCAGCGCCUUGACAUCGCCAUCGGCUCUGCGAAGGCUCUUUCCUACAUGCACUCCUCUAGCCUUAUGCAUGGAGAUGUCAAGCCAGCCAACAUCCUCCUUGAUGACAACCUGAACCCUAAGGUCUCUGACUUUGGGUCAUCUGAGCUCAUAUUGAAAUUCAAGCACGUGUGUGUUGACAAGAACUAUGUCGAUCCUGUGUGCAUACUGACGAACAAGUAUACUAUGGAGAGCGAUGUCUACAGCUAUGGGGUCGUGCUCCUGGAGCUCAUCACCCGGAAAAGGGCCAAGUACGACGAUGAAAGAAGCAUCCGAGUAGAAUUUGUGAACCAGUACAAAGACAACAACGAAAGGAGGAAGAUGUAUGACCAAGACAUGUUGUCGUCUACGGAUUCCCUAUAUCCUUACUGCAUGGAGUGCCUUGACAGGAUGGCGGCCGUCGCGGUCCGGUGUCUGAAAAACAAGGUGGACAAGAGACCGACCAUGGCGGAGGUCGUCGAGGAGCUUAAGCAGCUGAGAGAGCAAAUAAGCACGCGUAUGUCCUAGCUAGCCGGCUUGCUGCAAGAUCAGCUCGUGUAGAAGAUGAAUGCUUUUCUCUGCCUCGUUCUUCAGUCUCUCUAUUAGUUAACUUUCCUUUGCCUCUUUGUUAAUUUCUCUCCACCCCAGCAGAUAUCACGUACUCACGUUGGUUUGAGUUAUGUACUAUAUUCCACCGUACGUUUCAAUUGUUAUCCAUGUAGUGUUUUGGUACUAUGUUGUUUAAAAACAAGUGUUGUUGUGCUGUUUUUUAUCUUUUGCUAUACCUUUUGUAGAUGUGGUCUGCAUAUAAGCGAUAUAUAUAUAUACCAGCUCCUGUAAUCCUGUUAUCCCUCCUUGUGCAAUAAUAAAGUACCUCAUUUAAGUAUUUAUUGUCCUACAGAAAAACUGAGGUGCCACGUAACGGUACUGCAACCGGUGUACGUGGCAUAUCGAAAAUGGGCCGUUAAACAAAACGUCACCUGAGCCAGGCCGUUAAAUGUGCCAAAAACGAGAGAAGCGACCAGAAGAGGAAUAAGUCUGCUUAUGUAAUACUUAAAAAAAUGGGGUUAAAUAAGAACCUCUGAUAGUAUGCAUGACUGUUUUAGCUAAUGUGACAUCCUAGUCAGCAAAGAAGAAACUACUCUUUUCGUUUCAGGUUACAAGACAUUUUAACUUUGGUCAAAGUUAAAUUGUUUUAAGUUUGACUAAGUUUAUAGAUAAAUAUAGUAAUAUUUAUCAUACUAAUUUAGUUUCAUCAAAUCAAUAAUUGAAUAUAUUUUCAUAAUAAAUUUAUCUUGAUUUAAAAAUGAUACUAUUUUUUUUCUAUAAACUUGAACAAACUUAAAGCAUGGUUAAAUCGUCUUAUAACUUAAAAAAACAUAUGGAGCUCACGUGUAAGUGAGUUAUCUCUCUCAUCCUUCUUGAGCUGAGGCUCGUCGGCGCCGGAUGCACCAACGAAUAGGUUAUUUUCAAAAAUAAAUUACAAAUAGGUCCUCAGAAGCUAAUGAUAGCGCAAAGCAAGUCAAUCUUCCAGUGCUGCAAACUGAUCUCAAUCUUAUUUUCGCCGUUCUAAUUCCACCGGCGGAUUGUGGCGACAUUUUGAUCCAACUUUAAAAAAGAAAGCUCAAACAAGGUUCCAAUCAAAACCGGUGCGUGCAUGAUUGGUCAACAGUCAAUAUAUUCGACUCAUAUGUACAUUGUAUCUAUCAAGGUCUUGAUUGGUCAAGAGUUUGAAAGAAAACAAGUUUCACGCCCCACAUGUGGAGAGAAAACAUCCAAGAGCUCAUUGAUUACCGUCAGUGAGCCAAUCAGGAGGAGCGAAAUACAUGUAAUGUAAUGCUUUGUUAGUUCUUAGAUUGUUGCCAGUUAAUUGCCACAAAAGCAUCACUUCAGCGUCGCCAUGGCGCCUGGAUCUCCAGUAUGCAUCAGCGUGUCCGCUCUGCUGUUGAUCACUUUGUCCCCUGCGGUUGCUGCUGCUGCUGCUUCUCCUCCAGGGAGGAGCAAGAGCAAUGGCAGCGACACCGAUCUCGCUGCGCUGCUGGCUUUCAAAGGCGAGCUCUCCGAUCCCUACAGCCUUCUUGCCACCAACUGGACUGCUGGCACUCCGUUCUGCCGGUGGAUGGGGAUCACUUGCAGCCGGCGGCAGCAGCAGCGUGUCACCGGAGUGGAGCUGCCCGGAGUUCCCCUCCAAGGAAAGCUGAGCCCUCACAUCGGUAACCUAUCUUUCCUCUCCGUCCUUAACCUCACCAUCACAAACCUCACGGGCUCAAUCCCAGACGAUAUCGGAAGGCUGCAUCGCCUCGAGCUCCUUGAUCUUGGCAAUAAUGCUUUCUCAGGUGUCAUCCCAGCCUCCAUAGGCAACCUCACGAGGCUUGGCGUUCUUCGUCUCGCGGUUAACCAGCUCUCUGGACAAAUCCCAGCCGAUCUGCAAGGCCUGCACAGCCUUCGCAGCAUCAACAUUCGGAACAAUGGCCUCACUGGGUCGAUCCCAAACAGUCUGUUCAACAACACCCCUUUGUUAUCUUACCUCAACAUUGCCAACAACAGCCUUUCUGGAUCAAUACCACCUUGCUUCAAUUCCUUGACUUGCAGGUCAAUCGUCUCACCGGACCGGUACCACCAGGCGUCUUCAACAUGUCUAUGCUAGGAGUUAUUGCUCUUGCCUUGAACGGCUUAACUGGCCCUAUCCCAGGCAACGAAAGCUUCAGACUCCCGAGUCUCUGGUUUUUCUCCGUUGAUGCCAACAAUUUCACCGGUCCGAUACCACAGGGGUUUGCGGCGUGCCAGCAACUCCAGGUUUUUUCCCUCAUUCAGAACUUAUUCGAGGGUGCUUUGCCAUCAUGGCUGGGCAAGUUGACGAAUCUCGUCAAGCUCAACUUGGGUGAGAAUCACUUCGAUGGUGGUUCAAUCCCUGAUGCGUUAAGCAACAUUACCAUGCUGGCUUCCCUAGAGCUCAGCACGUGCAACCUAACAGGAACCAUUCCAGCAGAUAUUGGAAAGCUUGGAAAACUUUCAGAUUUGCUUAUUGCAAGGAAUCAACUAAGAGGACCCAUUCCUGCUUCUCUCGGCAACUUAUCUGCAUUAUCACGCCUGGAUUUGAGCACAAACCUGUUGGAUGGAUCUGUCCCAGCAACAGUUGGCAGCAUGAACUCUUUGACAUACUUUGUUAUUUUCGAAAAUAGCUUACAAGGGGAUCUCAAAUUCUUGUCUGCUCUUUCCAACUGUAGGAAGCUUUCUGUCCUUGAAAUCGACUCAAAUUAUUUCACCGGAAACCUCCCAGACUAUGUGGGCAAUCUAUCAAGCACGCUGCAAGCAUUCAUCGCACGUCGAAACAAUAUAUCCGGUGUCCUUCCAUCUACAGUUUGGAACUUAACUAGUCUCAAGUAUCUAGAUCUUAGUGAUAACCAACUGCACAGUACAAUAUCAGAAUCAAUCAUGGAUUUGGAGAUACUACAGUGGCUUGAUCUCAGUGAAAAUAGCUUGUUUGGCCCCAUCCCGUCAAAUAUCGGCGUGCUGAAGAAUAUUCAAAGAUUAUUUCUUGGAACAAACCAAUUCUCCAGCUCCAUAUCGAUGGGCAUUAGUAACAUGACCAAGUUAGAAUACCUAGAUUUAUCUGAUAACCAACUAGCAUCCACUGUACCACCGAGCUUAUUUCAUCUUGAUAGACUUGUUAAACUAGAUCUGUCCCACAAUUUCUUAAGUGGUGCAUUACCGGCUGAUAUAGGCUAUUUGAAGCAAAUGAAUAUCAUGGAUCUCUCUAGCAACCACUUCACUGGCAUCCUCCCAGAUUCAAUUGAACUUCAAAUGAUAGCCUACUUGAACCUAUCAGUCAAUUUAUUCCAAAAUUCAAUUCCAGAUUCUUUUCGUGUGCUUACCAGCUUAGAAACUUUGGAUCUAUCCCACAACAAUAUUUCCGGUACCAUCCCGGAAUACCUGGCCAAUUUUACUGUCCUUUCCAGCUUGAACCUAUCUUUCAACAACCUACAUGGUCAAAUACCAGAAACAGGUGUCUUCUCAAACAUCACGCUGGAAUCCUUGGUUGGGAACUCAGGGCUAUGUGGUGCUGUCCGUUUAGGAUUUUCACCAUGCCAAACAACCUCUCCCAAAAAAAACCAUCGGAUCAUAAAAUACUUAGUCCCUCCUAUAAUUAUCACAGUUGGAGCUGUAGCUUGCUGCUUAUAUGUAAUUCUUAAAUAUAAAGUUAAGCAUCAAAAGAUGUCUGUUGGUAUGGUUGACAUGGCCAGACAUCAACUACUCUCCUACCAUGAGCUUGCUCGUGCUACUAAUGAUUUCAGUGAUGAUAAUAUGUUGGGCUCUGGAAGCUUUGGAAAAGUUUUUAAGGGUCAGCUGAGCAGCGGUUUGGUGGUUGCCAUAAAAGUUAUACACCAACAUAUGGAACAUGCCAUUAGAAGCUUUGAUACUGAGUGCCGGGUGCUUAGAACGGCUAGGCAUCGCAACUUGAUAAAGAUACUUAACACUUGUUCCAACCAGGACUUCAGAGCACUGGUUCUUGAGUACAUGCCCAAUGGAAGCUUAGAGGCACUCCUACACUCUUAUCAAAGAAUUCAAUUAAGUUUCCUUGAGCGGUUGGAUAUUACUCCCUCCGUCCCACAAUAUAAGGGAUUUUGAGUUUUCGAUUGCAGUGUUUGACCACUCGUCUUAUUCAAAUUUUUUUUGUAAAUAUAAAAAAUGAAAAGUUGUGCUUAAAGUACUGUAUAUAAUAAAGUAAGUCACAAAUAAAAUAAAUAAUAAUUUCAAAAAAAAAAUGAAUAAAACGAGUGGUCAAACGUUGCAAACAAAAACUCAAAAUCCCUUAUAUUAUGGGAUGGAGGGAGUAUGCUAGACGUUUCAAUGGCAAUGGAAUACCUGCACCAUGAACACUGUGAGGUGGUUCUGCACUGUGAUUUGAAGCCUAGCAACGUGCUAUUUAAUGAUGACAUGACGGCGCAUGUGUCAGACUUUGGUAUUGCAAGGCUGCUGUUAGGUGAUGAUAGCUCCAUGAUUUCUGCUAGCAUGCCAGGAACAGUCGGGUACAUGGCACCAGGUAAGCUAGUAUCAUCUGUUCUUGCUGAAUCCUUGCUGAUCUUUUAUAGAGUAAUUAUCAAGUGGUGCAACUAAUGUUUGGUGGUCAUUUUUUCUUGAGAAGAGUAUGGCGCCCUUGGUAAAGCGUCACGGAAGAGCGAUGUAUUCAGCUAUGGGAUCAUGUUGCUUGAAGUGUUCACUGCGAAGAGACCAACAGAUGCUAUGUUUGUGGGAGAACUAAACAUCAGGCAGUGGGUUCUUCAGGCAUUUCCUGCAAACCUUGUCCAUGUCAUAGAUGGCCAACUUGUACAGGACAGCUCUUCUUCUACCAGUAGCAUUGAUGGCUUUCUUAUGCCAGUGUUUGAAUUGGGCUUGCUCUGCUCGUCUGACUCGCCAGAGCAAAGAAUGGUGAUGAGUGAUGUUGUCGUGACAUUGAAAAAUAUUAGGAAGGAGUACGUCAAGUUGAUAGCAACUAUGGGAAGAGAUGACAACCGAACAGCAGUGUUCCAUUGACCCUGCUUGACUGCGUAUACGAAAGAACGAAUCAUCCUCUGCAUCCAUAUUUGCUUCUGCAUUAAGAAUAACAGAAGAAUAGCAUCAAUUACUCUUUACUUCUUUAUGUGUAUGGAUGAAUAUGAAUAAAUCUCUUCUGUUUCUUAGUUACACAAUAGUUAAAUUGCGUACAUCUGUGAUUGAUCUGCUGCUACAUAAAUUUGCACGCACCAUGACAUGGCAGUAAAUGAUCUUGUGCGCAGGUAUUCUUAUGUCCAGACCAACAUUAAAAAAAAAAUCUAAACUACAAAGGACUGAAGUUUGGGUGCAAGCAUUCAACAUAAGACAUGGACUUGACUGGUUGCAUGGCACACCUCCUCUGCUCAUAGGUCACAGGAUAGUUUUCUUUAUAUUAUAUAUUAUCUUGUUUACGAUUUGAAAUGUUUGAUUUAUAACAUUGAAAUGGAGAGAACAAUGAACACACUGCCUAAACGGAAAAUGGAAAUAUGAUUAUAGUUCUUAUUUAGGACAUACAGAUGAUACCGAAAUCAACGAGUACACGACAGUUCAAGAGAUAAUCUUUAGUAAGAAUAAAAACAUCAUCAACCAAUGGGUAGUAGAUAGAUAAGUGAAGAAUCACGCCAGUUAGCUACCACGAUUACGAUGUGAAGAAACAGGACAUGGUUCAAAUCAGCAUACGAGUUGUGAAAAGCAAACACAUUUUCAUGGAGUUGUCAGAGAUCAAAUACCUUGAAAUCCUUCUUCAGAGACUGAAAGUAGCACAGCAUCUUGAUUUACUGUUGGAUGCCGCACGCCGCGUGGUCACUUGGCCAAAUAUGCAUGGUUAGGCAAGCUGUCCAGUCUCAGAUUCCUUAGCCUUAGAUGUGAUCUUUUAGCUCAGAGUGUACAAUCUGCUGGCUGGAUGCCUGGAUUGUUACCAGCAACAUUUGUAGCAUCAAGUCCUUGAUGUCUCUUGAUAGUAUUUCAGAAAUUUGCCUAGCAAUUGUACAGAACUAUGGCUACUGAUGAUGAUUAGUACCGAAAAAUAAUUUCACAGGGAGGAUCUCCGGCUGUGCACGGAACUAUGGCUACUCCAGUUUCUAGUCCGUUCAAACUUCAAAAUUGUAUUACUGCAUAUGAUUGGUCAGCAGUCAAAUAUAUUCGACUUAUAUGACUAGCUAGUUAGCUAUUUGUCCACUAUCUAUCAAGGUCUUGAUUAGCAACAAGUUAACAACUCACAACUGGGAAAGAGAAAAGGUUGCAUGCUAAUUUCCAUAUGGACCAGCGAAGGAAAAACUGUGGACAGUUGGACUUGUUCACGUCAGGUUGAGCAAUAGUGAAGGUCUUGGAUGUAGACAGAACCAGAUGCCUGCACGCACAAUUGAAUGGAGAGCUAAAUAUAUAAAUUAACCUCAACCCGAUGAUUCCUGUCUUGCCAACGCAUAAGAGCUCAGACAUGGCGUUUAGAAUGCCAGUACGGAUAUCUGUUGUGCUGCUGAUCAUCGCUUUGUCUGCAGUGACUUGUGCUUCUGCAGUUCCGAGCAAGAGCAAUGGCAGUGACACUGACUAUGCUGCACUGCUGGCUUUCAAAGCGCAGCUGGCCGACCCUCUCGGCAUUCUUGCCAGCAACUGGACCGUCAACACACCGUUCUGCCGCUGGGUGGGCAUCCGAUGCGGCCGCCGCCAUCAGCGCGUCACUGGCCUGGUGCUUCCAGGCAUUCCCUUGCAAGGAGAGCUCAGCUCUCACCUCGGUAACCUCUCUUUCCUCUCCGUCCUCAAUCUCACCAACGCCAGCCUCACGGGCUCAGUCCCAGAAGACAUAGGAAGGCUCCAUCGCCUAGAGAUUCUUGAGCUUGGCUACAAUUCUCUGUCAGGUGGCAUCCCAGCCACCAUAGGGAACCUUACAAGGCUUCGAGUUCUUUACCUCGAAUUUAACCAGCUAUCUGGCUCAAUCCCCGCAGAGCUGCAGGGCCUAGGAAGCAUUGGUUUGAUGAGCCUCCGGAGGAAUUACCUCACUGGCUCAAUUCCAAACAAUCUAUUCAACAACACACCUUUGCUAGCUUAUUUCAACAUUGGCAACAACAGCCUUUCUGGGUCGAUACCAGCCUCCAUCGGCUCUUUGUCGAUGCUCGAACACCUUAACAUGCAGGUCAACCUUCUCGCAGGACCGGUGCCACCAGGCAUCUUCAAUAUGUCCACAUUGCGUGUUAUUGCACUUGGACUGAACACCUUCUUAACCGGCCCUAUCGCGGGCAACACAAGUUUCAACCUACCAGCUCUCCAAUGGCUCUCCAUCGAUGGCAACAAUUUCACUGGUCAAAUUCCACUGGGGCUCGCAUCGUGUCAGUACCUCCAAGUUCUUUCCCUGUCUGAAAAUUAUUUUGAAGGUGUUGUCACAGCCUCAGCUGCAUGGCUGAGCAAGCUCACGAAUCUCACUAUCCUUGUGUUGGGUAUGAAUCACUUUGAUGCUGGUCCAAUCCCUGCUUCACUAAGCAACCUCACCAUGCUAAGUGUCCUAGAUCUCUCAUGGAGCAACCUCACUGGAGCCAUUCCGCCAGAGUAUGGACAGCUUGGCAAACUCGAGAAACUGCAUCUCUCACAGAAUCAGCUAACAGGAACCAUUCCUGCAUCUCUUGGUAACAUGUCCGAAUUAGCCAUGCUAGUGUUGGAGGGAAACCUACUGAAUGGAUCAUUACCAACAACAGUUGGUAGCAUCAGAUCGUUAUCGGUACUUGAUAUUGGGGCAAACCGCCUGCAGGGGGGUCUCGAAUUCCUGUCUGCUCUUUCUAACUGUAGAGAGCUUUAUUUCCUUAGUAUCUACUCCAAUUAUCUCACCGGGAACCUCCCAAACUACGUGGGUAACCUGUCUAGUACGCUGCGAUUAUUCAGUUUACAUGGAAACAAGCUAGCUGGUGAACUUCCAACCACCAUUUCCAAUUUAACUGGCCUCCUUGUGCUAGACCUUUCGAAUAACCAACUGCAUGGUACAAUACCAGAAUCAAUCAUGGAGAUGGAGAAUCUCCUUCAACUUGAUCUCAGUGGAAAUAGCUUGGCUGGCUCUGUCCCAUCAAACGCUGGAAUGCUAAAGAGUGUAGAAAAAAUAUUCCUUCAGAGCAAUAAAUUCUCUGGCUCCUUACCAGAGGACAUGGGCAACCUCUCCAAGUUAGAGUACCUAGUAUUAUCUGAUAACCAAUUAUCAUCAAAUGUACCACCAAGUUUAUCUCGUCUUAAUAGCCUCAUGAAGCUAGAUCUGUCUCAAAACUUCUUGAGUGGUGUAUUGCCAGUUGGUAUAGGCGAUUUAAAGCAAAUUAACAUCCUGGAUCUCUCUACCAACCAUUUUACUGGUAGCCUCUCAGAUUCGAUUGGGCAACUUCAAAUGAUUACUUACUUGAACUUAUCUGUUAAUUUAUUCAAUGGUUCACUUCCAGAUUCUUUUGCUAACUUAACCGGCUUGCAGACUUUGGAUCUAUCCCAUAACAACAUUUCUGGUACCAUCCCGAAGUAUCUAGCCAAUUUUACCAUCCUCAUUAGCUUAAACUUGUCUUUCAACAAUCUUCAUGGUCAGAUACCAAAAGGGGGUGUAUUCUCAAACAUCACGUUGCAAUCCUUGGUGGGGAAUUCAGGGUUAUGUGGUGUUGCACAUUUAGGGCUUCCACCAUGCCAAACAACCUCUCCCAAAAGAAAUGGUCACAAGCUAAAAUAUCUGCUCCCUGCUAUAACCAUAGUAGUUGGAGCUUUUGCUUUCAGCCUAUAUGUAGUCAUCCGAAUGAAAGUUAAGAAGCAUCAAAUGAUUUCUUCUGGUAUGGUUGACAUGAUCAGCAACAGAUUACUCUCCUACCAUGAGCUUGUCCGUGCUACUGAUAAUUUCAGUUAUGAUAACAUGUUGGGGGCUGGAAGCUUUGGAAAAGUUUAUAAGGGUCAGCUGAGUAGCAGUUUGGUGGUUGCCAUAAAAGUUAUACACCAACAUCUAGAACAUGCCAUGAGAAGCUUUGAUGCGGAAUGUCAUGUGCUUCGAAUGGCUAGACAUCGAAACUUGAUAAAGAUAUUGAACACUUGUACCAACCUAGACUUCAGAGCACUUAUUCUAGAGUACAUGCCCAAUGGUAGCCUAGAGGCACUCCUGCACUCUGAAGGAAGAAUGCAAUUAGGUUUCCUUGAGAGGGUGGACAUUAUGCUAGAUGUUUCAAUGGCAAUGGAAUACCUGCAUCAUGAGCACCAUGAAGUGGUCCUACACUGUGAUUUGAAGCCUAGCAACGUGCUACUUGACGAUGAUAUGACUGCACAUGUAUCGGACUUUGGCAUUGCAAGGUUAUUGUUAGGUGAUGACAGCUCCAUGAUCUCUGCGAGUAUGCCGGGAACAGUUGGGUAUAUGGCACCAGGUACUAGCAGCUUCUGUACUCUUGCUCAAAGUAGUGGUAUUUUCAUAAUUAUCGUAUGGUGCAAUCAAUAAGCAUUGACCAAUUUUAUUCCUGCAGAAUAUGGUGCUCUUGGAAAAGCAUCACGAAAGAGCGAUGUGUUCAGCUACGGGAUCAUGCUACUCGAAGUGUUCACUGGGAAGAGACCCACAGAUGCUAUGUUUGUGGGGGAACUGAACAUAAGGCAGUGGGUUUACCAGGCGUUUCCGGUAGAGCUUGUCCAUGUACUGGACACCCGACUUUUACAAGAUUGCUCUUCUCCCAGUAGCUUGCAUGGCUUCCUUGUGCCAGUGUUCGAGCUGGGCUUGCUUUGUUCAGCCGACUCCCCGGAGCAAAGGAUGGCGAUGAGUGACGUGGUUGUGACACUGAAGAAGAUUAGGAAGGACUAUGUCAAAUCGAUAUCAACGACAGGGAGCGUGGCCCUGCCUGCAUAUACGAAAGAAUGAAUUGUCCUCUGUGUCCAUUUCUGCUUCUGCAUUAAGAAUAACAAGAGAAUAGCAUCAGCAACAUGUCCAGUGGUCGAUUAAUCUUUGCCUCUAUAUCUUUAUUAUGGUCGAAUAUGAACAUAUUUCUUCUGUUCGUUAGUUACACAAUAUUUGAUUGGUGUACAUGUAUGAUUGAUCUGUUGCUUCAUGAAUUUUCACUGUAAAAAUGGGAGUAAAUGAUGGAUGUUGCUUGAAUGUGCUUACUUUCAGGUGAAAAUAAUAAUAAUAGAAAAAAGAACAUUGUAAACCUAGAAAAGGAAUCAAGUUUGGGUGCAGACAUUGGACAUUAAGACAUGGGCUUCACUGGUUGCCUGACAUGCCCGCUCUGUUCAUAGCCCAUAGGAUAUAUAGUCUUCCUCAUAUCCUCUUUCCAAUUUGCACAAUCUUUUUUUUUUUUGACAACAUAGAAAUGGAGAGAACAACGAACACUACCCAAUGGGAAAUGGAACGCAACAGUCCAAGAGAUAAUCAUUACUAAGAACAAAGAUAUCUAGUAGAUGAAGAGAUCAAGCAAUGUGUAGAUGUUGGAUAUGAGAUGGUUCAAGUGAGCAUUGGAGUUCAAUAAAAGCACAUAUUUUCAUGGGGGUUCGCAGAGACCAUUACCCUCAAAUCCUUCCUUCCUCCGAGAUUGAAGCAGCAUACCCGCAGGGUGCGUCGCCACUCAGCCAACUCCGGCGCACGCGGCAGCGUCGAGGUGGUCCUGGAUCUUGGCGGCGAUUUGCAGCUGGCCGGAGCGAAGAGGUACUGGAGAUUGGGGCGGCAUGAGCAGUUGGUGGAGGAACUGGAGAUGGACGAGGAGAUGGGAGCAGUGGCGGAGUCCUGGGUAGGACAGGGAGCCCGCGGCGGCGUCGGAGAGAGUCGGCGGCGGCGGCGAACUCCUCUCCGUCUCCGGCGACAAGAACCAACGGCUCAGAUUGGUACCCAUUACCCAACUAUACAAAUCGUAAUCCUUAACCUCUUUUCAUCAAGGUUCCUUUACUUAACCAAUAUUAAUUUUCGGUACUGAAAUUUACAAAACAACACCCGAUUUUGAUCGCUAUGAGUAGUAGUAUUUCCAAAAUGGUCCUUUCUGAGGACCGCUGCGGUGGCCGCCGGCUGCCUCCUCCGGCGGCGCGUGAGCAUGGCGGAUCUGUGCUCCUGGCCCUCUGGUUGCAGUGCAGGUUCCCUAGAUGAUCGAUGCGGCUACAAGUAAAAACAUCAUUCUCCCCGGCACUGAUUCCUGCACUAAAUGUCUCAUUUACCCCCUUUUAAAAUGGGAACAGUAGAGGAGCUAGAUAAGAUUUAUAGUCUCUUAAUACAAAAGUGCGCAAUCUUUUGCGUAUUCCCGAAAAAAAAAAGUUCAUAAUGUAGUUUCCUGUAAUUGUUGACCUCAGGUUGACUGGUAGUCAAAGUCUUGGAUGUUGAAGGUGAUAGAUGGUUGGAUGCAGCAUACAUGUACAGUGGAAUAGAGAGCUAAAUACUUUAUCCGUCCCAUAAUAUAAGGGAUUUUGAGUUUUAGCUUGCACUGUUUGACCACUCGUUUUAUUCAAAAAAUUUUAAAAUUAUUAUUUAUUUUUUUUGUGAUUUACUUUAUUAUCCAAAGUACUUUAAGCACAACUUUUCAUUUUAUAUAUUUGCAUAAAUUUUUUAAAUAAGACGAGUGGUCAAAUAAUACAAACAAAAACUCAAAAUCCCUUAUAUUAUGAGACGGAUGGAGUAAAUCUCAAGCUGAUCAUCCCCACCAUCAUCUUGGCAAUGCAUCAGAGCCCAAACAUGGAGUUUGCAUCUCCAAUAUUAUGCAUAUCCGUUGUGUUGUUCUUGAUCACUUCAUCCACUGUGGCUGCUGCUGCUACUCCCUCUCUAGGUCAGAGCAGGAGCAACAGCAGCGACACCGACCUCUCUGCACUGCUUGCCUUGAAAGCCCAGCUCUCUGAUCCUAACAACAUCCUUCACCUUACCGGCAACUGGACCGUCGGCACGCCGUUCUGCCAGUGGGUUGGUGUAUCGUGUAGCCGCCGCAGGUAACAUGCAUGGCUUCCUUGUGCCAGUGUUCGAGCUGGGCUUGCUCUGUUCGGCUGACUCCCCCGAGCAAAGGACGGCGAUGAGCGAUGUGGUCGUGACACUGAAGAAGAUUAGAAAGGACUAUGUCAAAUUGAUGGCAACCACCCGACCCGGCAAAAAAUUGAUGGCAACCACAGUAAGCGUUGUGCAGCAGUGAUUCAUCGCUCUAUCGUUGUAUAUGAGCGAAUGAAAUACAUAUCAUUUGCAUCAUUUUCUUCUUCUGCAUUAGGAAUAGCAUCAGUGAUCGAUUACCCUUUGUUUGUAUUUGUGUAUGGUUGAAUUGAAUAUAUAUAUAUAUAUAUAUAUAUAUAUAUAUAUAUAUAAAACAAUUUCGUUGGUGUAAAUAUGUGAUUGAACCGCUGGUCAAUAAAUUUGCAUCACGAAAAUGGGAGUAGAUGAUGUGCUACUUAUGUUUUCUUAUUUCUGGCCAAAAUAAAUAAAUAAAAAAGGAAUAUUAUCGGCACAGCAUCACAACUCCGGCUCAUUCAGCCUUAAACAACCACAAUUAACAGUCCUAAGCAGAGAAACUUAACAAGCUUUUCAGGCUAACAGAACAUCAAAAGGUCCACAAGACAACAGGGUCUUCAGAGAGCACAUCUUCAGGCUGUCAUGCACGCAAAAAAGAUCAGACAGCCAGAUGAGAGCGGGUACAAUAACCGGUAGCCAUCUCAGUAAAACUAACGAGGCUGUAGGACAGAGAAGAAAAAAGGUAGUAGGAACGGGCGACAAUAGUCGGCCAGCUCUACAUGAGCUCCAAGGUGAAAAAGCCUACAAGGUAGGAAUUUUCAAUUUUUAAAAAUGGCCAUGGGCCCACAAGUAGUGUGUCGGUGAUAUGGGACCGGGAGUAUCAUGACCAGAGGCUUGAGGCAGACACAAUCGCCCACGUGGCCUGGCACCUUCGGGGACGUCGGGCCCGAGGGUGAGGUGUCCGCCCUCCUCCUGAUUUCCCCCGAGGGGGGGUCGGGUUGCGCUUGCCCCGGCCCCGAGGGCCGAGGCACCCCGACCCCUUAAGGAAGUCUGCGCCAUAUAUAUGGGAUAAGUGAGCACAGCUGUGCUCACCUAACCGCAUUUAUUGCGGUCUGGUCAAGCGUGUCACGCUGCAUGCAGCGCAAUGCAGCGCGCUCUUUUAUCCGGUCUGUGACCAGUCACAGACCGGUCAGAUCAACGGUUAGGUGGCGACUGGCGGUCUGACGCACGCCUCGCCCCAUCCCGUCAAGACGAGAACCUCUAGGCACUCGUCCCCAGCUGGAGCUAGCGUGUUACAUCCCGGAGAUGGCACGUUAGCCCCGAUCGAUAUAUGCCAGGCUUCAUCCUAACCAUUACAGGCAAGAUGUUGUGUGAAGAAGGGCAAACAUGCAUGUUGCUAAGCUGACACGCGGUGGACAAGAAUGACCGAUUUGUGACCGGUCUGGCACUGCUCAUGUUGUCAGCGCACGGCCACGUUCCCACGACGCGCCUGCCCCCGGCAGGAGUGGAGGUAGGUGUGGGCUGUCCCAUCAGAAGGGCUCCCGGAUGGAAACCGUACUGAUCUCCGCCCAUUAAAGAGAAAAAGAACAGUCCAGUUUGGAAAGAGAAAGGUGCAUGUGGUAUCCCCUUGAGAUAUAAAAGGAGGACCUUGCCCAUUUAGAGAGGAGACUUCUUCCCUUUUGAAAGGCUGAGAGGGGAAAGGAAGUUAAUCUUUUGUAACUUGUCCAUACACAAAUCCACAAAAACACAGGAGUAGGGUAUUACGCUUGGCAGCGGCCCGAACCUGUAUACAUCGCCGUGUCUCGUGUGUCUUGCGGACGGGUGAUCUUUCCACAUACAGAGAGAGAGAGAGCUUGGGAUUGCACCCUAAGCCCCUGGUCGAACCGGCAAAGGGGGGCUUGCGCAGUCUCCCGGUGAGGGGCCACGAGCUCCGUCAUCUGGCGCGCCAGGUAGGGGACUCAGUGUGUGUUUUCUGAGCUCUCAGACUCUUCCGUGGGCGCCAAGUUUUUCUUGUUCAGCCUAAUGGCCGAGCAAGGAAAAGCGCACGACCUCUCUCCGAGUGUGAGCGGCGACGACGGGGAGCCGAAUCCACGCCGUCGAGCUCGUACUCCCCCACCUCCUCCGCGCCAAAGCCCUAAGCAGGGGGAGGCGCUUGAGAGGGUCGACAAAUCCGUGGCAUCACCGGUCGCGGGUGAUGUAGGAGAACGGCGAGAUGGGGAGCGUCGCCUCCUCGUCUACGGCGACGGCAGCACGCCUCAGGGCGCGCUUCAGGCUGCUAGCGCGCUCCUACGUCACCCACCCGUCGUCCAUGACCCUGAGUCUCCAGCUCAGCGAUGGCUGGACGACGUGGCCAACUUGGUCGUGACGGCCCAGCAGCGCCUGGGUGCUGGUGGACGGUCCGCCACCACCAAGACUUCCGGCGCCGCCACCACCGGUUCCGUGUCAUCAAGGCGGAGGGCGCGGCGAGCGGCGGCGGCUGCACGGCAUUCGGCUGCCACUCCCUCGUCGACACCUUCGACUCGGGAGGAUCAGCAUGGGGAGCCAGAUGCCCGCCUCAACAUCGAGCGCCGGCGUAAUAGCCGGCGUACUCCCCGUGCAACGGAGGGCGCCUCCUCGUCCAGAGUGUCACCUCGACAUGGACGUGAGGAUCAGCCCUCCGUGCCCCCGGCCGGUGGUGUUGGCUGUAGAGCCUUUGUGGCGAGUCUUCGGAAUGUCCGUUGGCCCCCAAGGUUCCGGCCCACCAUCACCGAGAAGUACGAUGGGAGCGUCAACCCCACCGAGUUUCUCCAGGUCUAUACGACCGGGAUCGAGGCCGCUGGGGGUGACGACAGGGUCAUGGCGAACUUCUUUCCCAUGGCCCUAAAAGGACAGGCGCGGGGUUGGCUAAUGAACCUGCCACCCGCGUCGGUCCACUCCUGGGAAGAUUUGUGCCAACAGUUCACCAUGAACUUCCAAGGCACAUAUCCGCGCCCAGGCGAAGAAGCGGACUUGCAUGCAGUACAGCGAGGCGAUGAUGAGUCGCUUCGCUCGUACAUUCAGCGGUUUUGCCAAGUCCGCAAUACUAUACCAUGCAUCCCUGCACACGCGGUGAUCUACGCGUUCAGGGGGGGCGUGCGGCACAACCGCAUGCUCGAAAAGAUCGCUUCCAAAGAGCCCCAGACUACCGCGGAGCUUUUUCAGCUCGCGGACCGAGUGGCUCGUAAGGAGGAAGCGUGGACAUGGAACUCCUCCGGUUCCGGAGUGGCAGCUUCGGCCGCCCCCGGAUCCGCCGCUCAGACAGGGCGGCGUGACAGGAGGAGGAAGAAAAGGUCGGUCCAUUCCGGCGACGAGGGUCACGUCCUCGCCAUCGAGGGCGCUCCGCGGGCCACUCGAAAGGGGAGGCCUGCGAGCGACAAAAAGAAAGAGGCUGGUACUCCCAGCAGGGAGCGCCCAGCCAGCAAGUGGUGCUCCGUCCACAACACCUCCCUCCACGAUCUCGCGGACUGUCGUGCAGUCAAAAACCUGGCUGAGCGAACGAGGAAGUGGGAGGAGGACAGGAGGCAGGAACGCCGUGAGGGCAAGUCCCCGGCGGUUCCUUCCAGCAAACGGCGAAGUGAGGCCAAGCAGAAGGCCCCCGCUGUUGACAUCGAUGAUGGUGAUGAUGACCUAGGUUUCCAAGAACCUGGGGCCACCAUUGCCACCGUCGAUGGAGGAGCGUGUGCUCACGUCUCUCGCCGGAGCUUCAAGGCUAUGAAGCGAGAGCUUCUGGCCAUGGCCCCUACUCAUGAGGCGAUGCGUCGGGCGCGGUGGUCGGAGGUUGCUCUCACUUUCGACCAGACCGACCACCCACCGUGCAUUGCCCGGGGAGGGCAGGUUGCGAUGGUGGUUUCCCCCACCAUCUGCAACGUGAAGUUGGGGCGUGUCCUCAUAGAUGGAGGAGCGGCUCUCAACAUCCUUUCCCCCGCGGCUUUUGAUGCCAUCAAGGCCCCGGGGAUGGUGCUCCGACCGUCCCAGCCGAUUAUCGGCGUGACGCCGGGGCACACGUGGCCAUUAGGUCACAUCGACCUACCGGUCACCUUCGGUGGACCCGCCAACUUCCGCACGGAGCGGGUAAGCUUCGAUGUGGCGGACCUCAGUCUGCCCUACAACGCGGUCCUGGGGAGGCCCGCGUUGGUGAAGUUUAUGGCGGCGGUCCACUACGCCUACCUCCAGAUGAAGAUGCCGGGCGCCGGUGGCCCCAUCUCUGUCCGUGGCGACCUUAAAGUCGCGCUCGCUUGCAUGGAGCAGCGCGCGGACCACCUCGCUGCUGCGACUAAGCCCGAGGGUGGUGACGAGAGGCUUGGCACCUCCGCCCCCACCGCCCCGAGGCAGCGGAUUGCCACAUGCGACGAGGUCCCGGUCAAGGAGGUUGCCUUGGGCGACGGCCCAUCCAAGACCACACGGAUCGGUGGUCUUCUGGAUGGCAAAUAGGAAGACGCGCUCGUCUCCUUCCUGCGGGCAAACGCUGACGUCUUCGCAUGGAGACCAGCGGACAUGCCCGGGGUCCCCAGGGAGGUGAUUGAGCACCGUCUCGCCGUGCGGCCGGGCGCAAGACCGGUCCGGCAGAAAGUGCGGCGGCAGGCCCCGGAACGUCAAGCCUUCAUCCGCGAGGAGGUGGCAAGGCUUCUGGAGGCCGGAUUCAUCCGUGAAGUCAUCCAUCCGGAGUGGCUGGCGAACCCGGUGGUCGUUCCCAAGGCGAACGGCAAGCUUCGGAUGUGCAUCGACUACACCGACCUUAACAAGGCAUGUCCUAAGGAUCCUUACCCCCUGCCUCGCAUAGAUCAGAUCGUUGACUCCACUGCGGGGUGCGACCUUUUGUGUUUUCUAGAUGCAUACUCUGGUUACCAUCAGAUUCGCAUGGCUAGGGAGGAUGAGGAGAAAACUGCGUUUAUUACCCCUGUAGGAACCUAUUGUUAUACAUCAAUGCCCUUCGGGUUAAAGAAUGCAGGUCCUACUUUUCAACGUACUACUCGAAUUUCUUUGGGUAGCCAAAUAGGACGUAAUGUUGAGGCUUAUAUCGAUGACUUGGUUGUAAAAACGCGCAACCAAGAAACUUUACUUUCAGAUCUAGCGGAAACUUUUGAGAACCUCCGCUCCGCCCGCAUAAAACUGAACCCCGAUAAGUGCGUGUUUGGUGUACCUGCGGGCAAGCCUCUCGGGUUCUUGGUCUCUGCCCGAGGCAUUGAGGCCAACUCCGAGAAGAUUCGAGCUAUCGAGCGGAUGCGCCCCCCCAGCAAACUUAGGGAUGUGCAAUGCGUCACCGGUUGCAUGGCCGCCCUAAGUCGUUUCAUAUCAAGGCUGGGAGAGAAGGCGCUACCCUUGUUUAAGCUCCUCAAGCGCUCGGGGCCGUUUACUUGGACGGAGGAAGCUGAACAUGCCCUCACUCAGUUAAAGGCAUAUCUCAGUUCCCCCCCGGUUCUAGUCGCCCCGGAGCCAAAUGAGCCCCUGCUACUUUACUUAGCGGCGACCCCCCAAGUAGUUAGUGCAGCGUUGGUUGUGGAGCGCGAUGAGGACAAUCCUCAUUCUGCGCACCCCCACUCUGUGCCGACUUGGCCCGGGAGCAGGCAGGGAGGAGAGGCCCCCGAGUCGAACGGUGGCCUAAGGCCCCCGACGACCGGAGUCGGCCCUCUGCCCGCUUGUCAGACGGUGCCGGGUGCCCCCGACCCUCAGGAAGGCCCCGAGGCCACUGCGGGAAGGCCGCACCUACCACCCUUUGACCCCGAGGCUAACCCUGUGCUGAUUCGACCCGGGAGAGAGCAGGGAGAAGAGGCCCCCGAGCCGAACGGAGGCCUGAGGCCCCUGACGACCGGAGCUGGCCCUUUGCCCGCUUGUCUGACGACACCAGGAGCCCCCGACCCCCGGGACGGCCCCGAGGCCACUGUGGGAAGGCCGCACCUGUCAUCUUCGGACCCCGAGGUCAUCAGCGCAGGAGACGAGUGUGCCCCGAGAGGCCACUUGGACGAAGAGCACCCCGGGGAUACGGCCCCUAGCGAAGAGGAUCGGCCCCGCCGAAAGGUGCAGCGGCCUGUCUACUUUGUUAGUGAGGCCCUCCGGGACGCCAAGACCCGAUACCCACAGGCCCAGAAGAUGCUUUACGCUAUUCUGAUGGCCUCGAGGAAACUGCGCCAUUAUUUUCAGGCGCAUCGGGUCACUGUGGUUACGUCUUACCCCCUCGGUCAAAUCUUGCAUAAUCGAGAGGGUACAGGACGAGUGGUAAAAUGGGCAAUCGAGCUUUCUGAGUUCGAUCUGCACUUUGAACCACGCCACGCUAUCAAGAGCCAGGCCCUCGCCGAUUUUGUGGCAGAGUGGACCCCGGCUCCAGAGACCGUCUCAAUUCCCGAGGCCAGCACGGACCCCUCACAGCUGCCUCAAACCGCCCAUUGGGUGAUGCAGUUCGACGGUUCUCUGUCUCUCCAGGGCGCCGGUGCAGGGGUCACGUUGACCUCUCCAAACGGAGACGUCCUCAAAUACUUGGUCCGUCUCGACUUUCGAGCGACUAACAAUAUGGCAGAGUACGAGGGACUCCUUGCCGGACUCAGAGUGGCAGCUGGACUGGGGAUCCGCCGCCUCUUGGUGUUAGGCGACUCCCAGCUGGUCGUUAACCAGGUCUGUAAGGAAUACCGGUGCUCUGACCCACAGAUGAACGCUUAUGUACGCCAAGUGCGGCGUAUGGAGCGCCAUUUUGACGGGAUAGAGCUUCGGCAUGUACCCAGACGGGAUAACAUGGUUGCCGACGAACUCUCACGGCUCGCGUCCUCGCGAGCCCAGACCCCACCGGGCGCCUUUGAAGAAAGGCUUACCCAGCCGUCGGCGCGACCCGAUCCCUUAGGGGAGACGGAUGCGCCUGACCGGCCCCCGAGGCCCGUCGGAGUCCAGGCCUCGGGACCCGAAGGGAGCGCUACAAGCUCCCUUAGAUUGAUUGCUUGGAUCUCUGAGAUCCAAACAUACCUCACAGAUAAGACUCUACCUGAGGACCGCGAAGGGAGUGAACGCGUACAACGCAUUUCCAAACGCUAUGUGUUGGUAGAAGGGACCCUCUAUCGGCGCGCGGCUAACGGAAUCCUCCUGAAGUGCAUUCCUCAGGAACAAGGCGUUGAGCUUCUUGCUGACAUCCAUGAGGGCGAGUGCGGAGCCCAUUCCGCCUCGCGUACCCUGGUUGGCAAGGCCUUUCGUCAAGGAUUUUAUUGGCCGACAGCUCUCAAUGACGCAGUCGAUCUGGUCCGGCGAUGCAGAGCGUGUCAGUUCCACGCCAAGCAAAUCCAUCAGCCGGCCCAGGCCCUGCAGAUCAUACCACUGUCAUGGCCAUUUGCUGUCUGGGGGCUUGAUAUCCUGGGACCGUUCAAACGGGCCCCGGGCGGGUUUGAGUAUCUGUAUGUAGCGAUCGACAAGUUCACUAAGUGGCCCGAGGCUUAUCCGGUUGUCAAGAUCGAUAAGCACUCUGCUCUUAAAUUCAUUAAGGGCAUCACGGCCCGUUUUGGAGUGCCUAACCGUAUUAUUACGGAUAAUGGCACCCAAUUCACUAGUGAACUCUUUGGCGACUACUGCGAAGACAUGGGCAUCAAGCUCUGCUUCGCCUCACCUGCCCACCCCAGAAGCAAUGGCCAAGUGGAGCGCGCCAAUGCAGAAAUCCUCAAAGGCCUUAAAACCAAGACCUUCAAUAUUCUCAAGAAGCACGGCGAUUCAUGGAUCGAGGAGUUGCCAGCGGUGCUCUGGGCAAACCGAACCACACCAAGCCGAGCGACCGGGGAAACGCCUUUCUUCCUCGUCUACGGCGCAGAAGCGGUUCUCCCAUCCGAGCUCACCCUGAGGUCUCCUCGGGCCACCAUGUACUGCGAGGCUGAUCAAGAUCAGCUUCGCAGAGAUGACCUCGACUACUUAGAAGAGCGAAGACGGCGCGCGGCCCUCCGAGCCGCGCGCUACCAGCAGAGCUUGCGGCGCUACCAUCAGCGCCACGUCCGGGCCCGAUCACUCUGCGUCGACGACCUCGUCCUACGCCGCGUCCAAACGCGUGCUGGAUUGAGCAAGCUCUCACCAAUGUGGGAGGGUCCGUAUCGAGUGAUCGGUGUCCCCCGGCCGGGCUCGGUACGGCUGGCCACGGGCGACGGCACGGAGCUGCCAAAACCGUGGAACAUCGAACACCUUCGUCGCUUCUACCCCUGAGGAGGGGGGGGUCGGGUGUCAGGUUUUGGCUCAGGCCAACCCCGCACCCCCCUCGGGUGUGCAGGGUUGGCCGGGGGCUACCACACGUGCAUUACAUUCUUAUUUCUCUUUUUUCAACAUUUCAAUAGAAGCAGUUUCAAUUUCCUAAAGGUUGUGUCUGUGCUGUUCUUUCCUUUUGAAGAAUCUUGACUUAAAAUAAGGUCACUCGUACUCAACCUUGCCCUCGGGGGUUCGGUUCGGUCAGCUAAAAUCGUCAAACGGGGCCCAGAACCGAGCCGUGCCCCGGGGCGUGGUGAACUCCGGGGGGGAAUCGGCAAAAACCCACAAUCGGGUCACCCAUACCCCUCGGUCACCACGUUCCCGGCCUGGCCAGUCUCGACAUGUGGAUCUCCCCAGGCACUAGCCCCGACCCGAGCCAUUCGAGGACUGGGACUUGGGCACGAGCCCUUAUUUCAAGCUAAGGCGCAAAAGGACCAUGACACAGAUACAUCCUCAUCGCGUAUGUAUAGCAAAAUAAAACUAACACAAAAAUUUUUUCAUCAUUUCUGAUUGCAGAUUAAGUUAAUUUGUACAAAAAAGAGGCAUGAAGGCCUUAGAAGAAAGAAAAAGAAAAAAGUUAAGAUUGGCGGGGGCCUGGGCGCUCAUUCCAAUGCGCCCGGGUCGCCGGCCUCGUCGCCACCGUCGUCCUCGCCGCUGGCAUCGCCCUCCUCGUCGGAGCUGGGGGCGAACGCGAGCCGAGGGGCCGAGCCCUCGAAGCCGUUGACGAUGUGGUCGGCGGCAUCCCGGACGCGCGCGCGCGCGUCGUCCUCGGUCCCGGGAGGGAACUCCUCCAGCGCCAUCCAGGGAGAGAAAUUGGGGUCCCGGGCCUGGUAACUCGCUAGCACGAGUUCGACCGCCCCCCGGGCGAGGUCCCUCGAGGAUGACUUGAUGGUCUUCUCGAGCUCCUCGGGGAGUCGUUCAAGGACCCAGGCCAUUCUGUUAAGGUGCGGAGCGAGGCCUUCCAGAUUGGUGGGGCGCAUCCUCGUCUGGCCUUUCCAGAGGCCCGCUUGCCGACCAGCGCGAUCCAUGCGGGAGACCGAGUCCCAAAGCAUGUCGGGCCCCAUCUCGCCCGCCAAGCGGAGGGCCUCGGCCUCCCCGAUGGAGGAAUCUAGUGCGCGCUGCAUGUCAGCGACGGUGUGUUCGGCAGCCGCGAGGCGAGCGGCUAAGUCGCUUUCGCCCGCAACCGCCCCACCGACGCGCACCCUUGCGUCCAGCUCUUUCUCCCGCGCCUCGAGGUCGGCAGCCCGCUGCUCCAGUGCGGCUCUCUCGGCGCGGACGCAUUCCAGAUUGCGGCGCGCCUGCUCCUCCUGCGCUGCCUCGCGGAGGGACAGGCUGUCCGCCAGCCGUUGCGUCGUGGCCUCGGCCACCUCGAGAGCUCGCUCCCGCUCAGCGAGUGCAUCCUCGCGGAGGCGGAGCGCGGACUCCUCCUCGGCGCAGGCGGCCUCAUGCGCCGCCAGCGUCGCCUCUCGGAGACCAGCGGCGGCCUCGCGGUCCGCCAAGCCCCUCUCCACGGCGCCGGCGUGUUCUUCCAGCGCCAUGGCACGGGCCUCAAGGGCCUCCUCGCGCCGCCGAGACGCCGCUUCAGUCUUCGUUACCCGCCGCUCUCGGGCAGCGGCGGAGUCAAGGACCCCUUGGGCGGCGUCGAGCUUUUUCUUCAGCUCCGCCUCCCAGCUUGCGUGCUGAAGGCGGAGGGUGUCUUGCGCCUCGACCAUUGCGGUGGUAGAGAUGAGGGCGGCCGCCCGCUCCUCCUCCACCUCACGGGCGACCUCCGCCAGCGCCGCUUUCCGGGCUUCAAGCUCCGAGACAUGACGGCGGUGAGCCUUACGGCCCACCUCCACCAUGGCGUCCACCGAGCGCCGCCCCUCCUCAACACGCGUCCAUGCGGCCUCGAGCUCCGCUCGUUCCGCACGCAGGGCCUCCACUUGGGCGUUGAACCCAUCCAGCACUGCGGUGUUUGCGGCGGCCAGGGCUUGCAGAAGGGGCUCGGCGCUCAGCGGGGCGACAGAAGAUGAGGAGAAGAGCCGCCUUGGAGAAAAUGCGACGCGGCUUGGCCCCCCGGAGGAUGCGCUGGGCUCGGGGAUGUCCCCCGGGCCCGUUUGGUCCUGGGCGUCGCCCGGUGAGGUAGGCCCAGGCGAUGCGCCCGCGGCCUCGUCGCGAGCCGCCUCGGAGGACGUCGCCUGAGGGCCGCCCGAGGGAGUGGGCCCAAGUGACGCGCCAGCAGCAGCUGUCGCCUCAGCCUGGCGAGCCCGGUCGGCCUCCUCCUUAGCAGCUUCCUCAGCCUGGCGAGCCCGGGCGGCCUCCUCCCGAGCAGCUUCCUCCGCUUGGCGAACCCGGGCGGCCUCCCGGGCGGCCUCUUCAGCUUCCCGAAGGCGAUCUGCGGCUUCACGCCGGUCAGAUUCUCGCCUCCGCUCCUCUGCGGCCGCUGGAUCUUCGGCCUCGGACUGGCCGGACUUGGGGUGGCGGGAGGAAUGUGACGGGGCAUCGCUGAAGCAGAAUAAAAAACCAGAAGACAAACAAAAUGAGUAAGAAAAAACUUCUUUUUGGGAGAAAGAUGGUUGCAAUGAGAGUGAGACGAACCUGCGAGGGGGUCGGUUGAAUGACCACCUUGGAGGGGAAAUCAGGUUUCCCCGGCAUGGUUCCGUCUCCCCCGUCUUGCGGAGCCGUUUCUUCUUGCGCUCCCCCUCGGGCUGCGACGUCGGCGCGGCCCCCUCCGGGCGCCGACUGCUGGCACGCGCCGCCCCGCCCCCUCGGAGAGGAGAUGGGGGAGGUGUUCCUCCCAGCUUCCUCUUCCCCUGGGCGUCGGCAGGGCGGCUGCUCCCCGAGCCCCCGACGCGGGGCCCAGAAGCACGACCCCCUCCUGGGGCAGAUUGUUCCCCCCGGCGGCGCUCGCCCGCGCCGUCGUGGCCCUUAGGGGCUCUCUCCUCUGAGGCCCCGACCCCCAUCAUAAUGGUUAGAAUGGAGGCGCGGUCGGGAUCGCUGCAGAGGGGGAGGAUCUCCUGAGGAAUGCGAGACGCCUCCGCGGAGCUAAGAUUCAGCACCCUUUGGACCACGAUCUUGAAGUCCUCGGGAGCCCAAUCCCAUCUGGCUCCCUGGUGGGUCCGCAUGUAGUCUUCAGGCCCAGUGUACUCCCAGGCGCUCCGGGCGCGCCGUUGGAGCGGCGCAAUCCGGCGACGGAGGUAAUCGCCGUACACCAUGGCCCCGGUGAGCCCCUGGGAUCGCAGGCCCGCCAGGCGGUCGAGGACGGCGUCGUAGUCCUCCCCCAGAUCUACCGGCGCCCGCCAGCUGGAGACCAGCGCCGGGGGCUGGCUUGGAAGUCGGAGGCGCGCUUCGUUGGCGAGGGGGGUGUAGAACCAGUCGCUCUUCCAGUCGUCCCACUUCUUGCGGAGGACGCAGGGGAUGUAGCGGUUCAGCACCGGCCCCCGCGGCUGGAAGUAGCAGCCGCCGACCACCGACGGCGGUGACACCGACUGCACGGUGAAGAACCACCGGAACAGCUGAAGAGAGGGGCGCACCCCAAUGAACAUCUCGCACAGGUGCGCGAAGAUGGCCAAUGUCAUCACCGCAUUGGGGGUGAGGUGCGCCAUCUGGAGAUCGUAGAACUCCAGGACAUCCAUGAAGAAAGAAGAAAAUGGCGGGACCAGCCCAGCCAUUGCGAAGGGGAGGAAGAAGAUGGACCGCCCCGGGUAGUCUGGUGCCGGGCGUCCCUCGCCCAGCAUCACUAUCUCCCGACCGGUGGCGGACUCCGGCAUGAAGCGGCGCGGCAGUCCGGCGUGCCUCUCGCUCACGAUGCGGGAAGGCGGUAGUACACUGCCGUCGAGCAGAGCAGAGCCCCGUGCCAUGGCGGUGGAGGAAGAGAUGAUUGAGAACGAGCGCGUGUGGCGAAAGUUGGGCGUAGCAGAGAAAGAGUUUGAGCUCAGGCGGCGAAGGCAAGAGGAACAAUGGCGAAAGGAAGGAAGCAAAUCCUUUUCUCGAUGCUUUUAUACCCUUGCCAUCGCUGGGCCUGGCUCCUCGUUUCUCGCGCCCACUACCUCGCUCCCUCGUAUCUCGCUAUCUCGCUCCCUCGUUUCCCGUGCCCACGCUUCCACUAAUCCCAUUCGCCCGCUUACGGCGCAUGAAGUGGAUAUGCGGUUGUGGCAAUCGAAAUGGAUUGUAUCGUGCGCGCGUUAAUUACGCUCGCCGACCGAAGCGGCGUUACCGUAUCUCCGGGCGAGACAAAUCUGCUCACCCAGAUUCGCGCGCUGCUCAAGUGGUGUGGCAGUCUUGAAUAGACCGCCCAUUAUGGACAACCAAAGUUACCAAUACCAAUGUGCAUGGAUUGAGACCGUUGGGUAUUUUGCCCAACUACGGAGACCGGUCCCACCUGUCACCAGGCUUUAGGGGUGGCGUCACACCUGACCGCUUCCCUGGGGAAGGGAAAUUGCUCUGGCGUAACGCCGGGGGCUACUGUCGGUGAUAUGGGACCGGGAGUAUCAUGACCAGAGGCUUGAGGCAGACACAAUCGCCCACGUGGCCUGGCACCUUCGGGGACGUCGGGCCCGAGGGUGAGGUGUCCGCCCUCCUCCUGAUUUCCCCCGAGGGGGGGUCGGGUUGCGCUUGCCCCGGCCCCGAGGGCCGAGGCACCCCGACCCCUUAAGGAAGUCUGCGCCAUAUAUAUGGGAUAAGUGAGCACAGCUGUGCUCACCUAACCGCAUUUAUUGCGGUCUGGUCAAGCGUGUCACGCUGCAUGCAGCGCAAUGCAGCGCGCUCUUUUAUCCGGUCUGUGACCAGUCACAGACCGGUCAGAUCAACGGUUAGGUGGCGACUGGCGGUCUGACGCACGCCUCGCCCCAUCCCGUCAAGACGAGAACCUCUAGGCACUCGUCCCCAGCUGGAGCUAGCGUGUUACAUCCCGGAGAUGGCACGUUAGCCCCGAUCGAUAUAUGCCAGGCUUCAUCCUAACCAUUACAGGCAAGAUGUUGUGUGAAGAAGGGCAAACAUGCAUGUUGCUAAGCUGACACGCGGUGGACAAGAAUGACCGAUUUGUGACCGGUCUGGCACUGCUCAUGUUGUCAGCGCACGGCCACGUUCCCACGACGCGCCUGCCCCCGGCAGGAGUGGAGGUAGGUGUGGGCUGUCCCAUCAGAAGGGCUCCCGGAUGGAAACCGUACUGAUCUCCGCCCAUUAAAGAGAAAAAGAACAGUCCAGUUUGGAAAGAGAAAGGUGCAUGUGGUAUCCCCUUGAGAUAUAAAAGGAGGACCUUGCCCAUUUAGAGAGGAGACUUCUUCCCUUUUGAAAGGCUGAGAGGGGAAAGGAAGUUAAUCUUUUGUAACUUGUCCAUACACAAAUCCACAAAAACACAGGAGUAGGGUAUUACGCUUGGCAGCGGCCCGAACCUGUAUACAUCGCCGUGUCUCGUGUGUCUUGCGGACGGGUGAUCUUUCCACAUACAGAGAGAGAGAGAGAGAGCUUGGGAUUGCACCCUAAGCCCCUGGUCGAACCGGCAAAGGGGGGCUUGCGCAGUCUCCCGGUGAGGGGCCACGAGCUCCGUCAUAGUGAGAUGCAUGCAAUGAAAGAUGCUAGUCAGUUGGGUCCCACAAGAAAAAGAAAUACAUCUCGGGAUUAACUGCUAGCUUACUCUAGUUAAUAUGGACAUGGAUGGAGCCGGCAGCCAGCAAUACUAUUGAACCUGCUUAAGAGCAAGUGCAAUAGUAGGCUAUAUACCAGCUAUAAACAUACUUUAAAGAGAUAAAGGAAGAGAGAGAGGAACAACAGAUUACAUAUCUGUAGUCAGCUGCAGCACGGAUUACAAGACGUAAUAUGUGUAUAACAUGUGAGACCAGAUAUUAAUAGUAUAGUAAGCAACUAUUGUAUGAACUAGGAAGGAAGCCCGCGCAGAUGCGCAGGCAUCUAAUUUAUUGUUUUAUGAUUUAUGAAAUAAUGCUAAAAGAUGUCAUGUCUCAUCUUUUUUAUGCUGUGAGAUAAACUGACUUUAAUAUACUUAGUAAAUGAUAAGAAUGUCUCCAAGAUUAAAAGAAAAUCAGUCUGUCCCGAUUACUUAUAAAUUCUCCUAUUGUCACCACAACUUAUUAUUAUUGUUUUAAAAGUUAUGAUCUAUAAAUAGAUAAAACUGGAUAUGUACCAAUAAAAUAAGCCUAAUACAUCAUUGAUACACUAAAAUAUUCACUACUUAUCUAAGUGUUCAUGUUUCACUUAUUUCCGAAUCAAUAUAUAAAUAUUUUAAAAAUACCACUUAUACCAAUUAAUGAAAUAACACCGUUAAAGAUAAACAUGAAUGCCCCUCUAACGGGUGAAGCCCAUCGUAGCCACCAAGACUUUCUUUCUCUGUUGAGUUUUCUAAAAAAACGAAAAUAAAAUUUUUGAUAAAUUAAUCCAAAAAAUUAAAACUAAAUUGGAUUUACUUAAAAAAUAGACUAAAUUGUUUUUUUAUCAUUUUUUACAUUUGUAGAUUUAAAUUAGUGUUGUAUAUUUAUCAAGUGAUAUUAGAAAUCCUAAAAUAUAAUGUGAAACUAUUUGAAAAUUACCACAACAUUAAUUAUUAUAUGUUGGUCCCAUGUGUCAUGAUGUAUUUAGGACCAUAAUAUACCUUUUAUAAGACAUAAGUAUUUCAUUUAAUUAAAGCAUGAAACUAAUCACAAAUUGAAUAUAAUAGUUGCUUACUAUACUAUUAAUAUAUGGUCCCACCUGUCAUACGCACAUUGCGUCUUGUAGUCCGUGCUGCAGCUGGCUACAAAUCUGUAGCCCGCUGCUCUUCUCUCUCAUCGUUUAUCUCAUUAAAAUAUAUUUGUAGCUGGCUAAUAGCUUGCUAUUGUACUUGCUCUAAGAUAACAGUCCUACCAAUUUAAAUAAAAAUUAAUGAUGAGAUUAGACAAAGUCACAGGGUGGCCUACAAGAGUUGGUAGAAAUGGCACAUAAGAUAAAAUAUGAUAUAGUAGUAAAAAUAUAGCUAAUAUAGCUCAGGAAUUGGUGAUUUAAUUAAAAAAACCUACAGCUGCUAAAGUGUAUGCGUAGAUCGUCUAUAAAAAUAAUUGUUUAUUUACAACACCAGAUCACUUCUAUUGUAAAUUCCUAGCGUUUGCGCAUUCACACUAAGAUUACUCUCUAUGAAAAAACUGAUCUAAUAAUUUAUGAUAAUAAAUUAUGAUGUACAUGUAUCAUGUAAUUUGAAAAAAGAAGAAAAAAAGGAGAAUUAGGAUCUGGAUGGCAUCAAUCGAGCUCGCCGAGGCAGAUCAGUCUCCAUGGAAAUGAUAACAAAUUAUGAUGCACAUGUAUUGUGUAAUUAGAAAAAAAAGGAGAGAGGGAGAAUCCAGAUAUGGAUGGCAUCAAGCUAACAGAAGCAUAAGUAUGUACGUACGUACUUAUGGGCGGAAAAUCUAAUGGGCGAUCAAUCGCUACCGCGAUCUGGUAGCGAUCGCAUCCCCUCCCCUCUCCCUCCUUCCACGUUUCCUUUUCUGGCACCGCAUUACUUUUCUAUUUUAGUAAAAUUUAUGCACCUAAAGUUUAUACACCUAAAGUUUAUAGACCCAAAGUUUAGAGACCCAAAGUUUAUAAAUCAAAAGUUUAUAUAUCCGAUUCAAAUUUAAAUUUGAAUUCAAAUAUUUUUUAUAUAUAGUAUUUAUAUACAUCUAAAGUUUAUACACCUAAAGUUUAUAGACCCAAAGUUUAUAAAUCAAAAGUUUAUAUACCCUAUUCAAAUUUGAAUUUGAAAUAUAUUCGAUUCAAAAUUUGAAUUUGAAUUCAAAUAUUUUUUAUAUAUAGUAUUUAGAUACAUCUAAAGUUUAUACACCUAAAGUUUAUAGACCUAAAGUUUAGAGACCCAAAGUUUACAUACCCAAUUCAAAUUUGAAUUUGAAUUGUAUCCGAUUCAAAUUUAAAUUUGAAUUCAAAUAUUUUUAUAUAUAGUAUUUCUAUACAUCUAAAGUUUAUACACCUAAAGUUUAUAGACCGAAAGUUUUUAGUAAAAAGUUUAUAUACCCGAUUCAAAUUUGAAUUUGAAUUCAAAUAUUAGUUUAUAGAUCCAAAGUUUAUAAGUCAAAAAUUUACAUAACCGUUUCAAUUCUGAAUUUAAAUUUAAAUAUUUAUGGUGUAGUAGGAAGAGAAAAAGGAAAGGAGGAAGGGGGGAGAGGAGGGAGCGACUGGAUAGGAGGGGCGGGUGAUCGCCUGAGGGGCGGGAGCGAUCACCCGCCCAUCAGGCGUACCCACUUAUGGGUCCGGAGAGAAAGGGUGAGAAAGAUUUAGUUUUGAUCCAACGGUUAAUAUUAUUGGGUCCACCACUUUAAAUAAAAACUUACGGUCAGAUAUUUUUCUUUUUCUCAGAAUAUUAUUUAAAUUAUUAGAGCGCCAUGUGGCGACUUAGGAGCGUUUAUAUAUAGGAGUCUCACGUGGUAGCUUGAGAGCGUACGUAGAAAGUUUAAUGAACUUUUAGUAUAUAAAUAAUAGAUAGAUAGAUUUAGGAUUUUCUCUAAUUUGCUAGAACGCCACGUGGUGGCCUAGGAUCGUUAUUGGUCCAAAUAAUAUGUAAUUACUUAUUUAUAUAAAUAAUAUGUAAUUUAGAAGUAUACUUAUUCAAUAUGUAUUGUUGCAGAACAUAGUAAAGAGAGGAAGGGGAGGAAAAGAAACGGAGAGGAGGUACUCAUACAUGACGCACGGCAGGAUUCCUUCUUUGUUUUUUAGAAAGUAAGAGAAUAAACCAAUCUAAUCUAACGGCUUGGAGUAACGGGCCCACUAAUUUUAAUGAAAAUCAAUGGCUAGAUGUUUUGCUUUUUUUUAUAGAAUUUCUAGUAUUUUUUCUAAUUUAUUAGAACGCCACGUAGCGUCGUAGGAGUGUUUGUAGGAAGUUUAAUGGACUUUUAGUAUAUAAUAGAUAGAUAGAUAGAAGAUAGAUAGAUAGAUAGAUAGAUAGAUAGAUUAUCUAUUACGUUAGCUAUAGAUGAUUUGGAGCUAGUAGCGGGCUAUACUAUUAAACUUGCUAAAACUAUACAAUCGUUGCCGUUCUAACCACCCAAUCAACAAAAGAGUACGUAAGGCCGUUGCCGUCAAAUUGUUUGACAGAAAAAAAAAAUCAGUGAGCGUAUGGCUGAUGACGGAGCGACACAGCUAUCAUAUCUAGCGUGUCGUGCACACCGCGAUCUGCUGAAUAUAUAUUUUGUGAUGUCUUUAUUUUUCAGCGUUUACCUAGUAGUGCUGUCAAAUAUUUAUGACCGGAAGGAGUAUCAUUUAAGUUUCUUUCGCUUUCUGAGAGCAACAGUCAAGGUCGUCCUACAUGUCGAAAGCAAACUAGCACUACUGUGCUAAACAAAGCUCAACUUGAUCGUCACUGUGAAGUAUGAUGCAUACUCUUGCUGCCAAUGCAUCACACACAACCAGACAUGGCGCUUGUUCGAUUGCCAGUAUGGAUUUUCGUUGCGGCGUUGUUGAUCGCUUCGUCCAGUACUGUGCCUUGUGCUUCCUCUCCAGGUCCGAUCGCGAGCAAGAGUAACGGCAGCGAAACCGACCUCGCUGCAUUGCUGGCCUUCAAAGCCCAGCUCUCCGAUUCUAACAACAUCCUUGCCGGCAAUUGGACCACCGGAACGCCGUUCUGCCGGUGGGUGCGUGUCUCGUGCAGUAGCCACCGCCGGCGCCGGCAGCGCGUCACCGCCCUGGAACUGCCAAACGUUCCUCUCCAAGGAGAGCUCAGCUCUCACCUUGGUAACAUUUCUUUUCUCUUCAUCCUCAACCUCACCAACACCAGCCUCACUGGCUCGGUGCCCAACGAAAUAGGAAGGCUGCGUCGCCUCGAGCUCCUUGAUCUCGGCCACAAUGCCAUGUCAGGUGGCAUCCCAAUCGCCAUAGGGAACCUCACGAGGCUUUAGCUACUUAAUCUACAGUUUAACCAGCUAUACGGUCCAAUCCCGGCAGAGCUGCAGGGGCUGUACAGUCUUGACAGCAUGAAUCUCUGUCACAAUUAACUCACUGGAUCGAUUCCGGACGAUCUGUUCAACAACACGCCUUUGCUAACUUAUCUCAACGUUGGUAACAAUAGCCUGUCAGGACUGAUACCGGGUUGCAUCGGUUCCAUGCCAAUCCUCCAACACCUUAACUUGCAGGCCAAUAACUUAACUGGGGCGGUGCCACCAGCCAUCUUCAACAUGUCUAAAUUAAGUACCAUUUCUCUUAUAUCGAAUGGUUUAACUGGCCCUAUCCCUGGUAAUACAAGUUUCAGCCUCCCAGUUCUACGAUGGUUCGCCAUCAGUAAAAACAAUUUCUUUGGUCAGAUUCCACUGGGGCUCACAGCGUGUCCAUACCUCCAAGUUAUUGCCAUGCCUUAUAAUUUAUUCGAGGGUGUUUUGCCACCAUGGCUGGGCAGGUUGACCAAUCUUGAUGCCAUCUCCUUGGGUGGGAAUAACUUUGAUGCUGGCCCCAUCCCAACUAAACUUAGCAACCUCACCAUGCUGACAGUCUUAGAUUUGACGACGUGCAACCUAACAGGAAACAUCCCUACAGAUAUUGGGCACCUAGGCCAACUUUCAUGGUUGCAUCUUGCGAUGAAUCAACUAACAGGACCUAUUCCUGCUUCUCUUGGCAACCUUUCAUCGUUGGCAAUCCUGCUACUGAAAGGAAACUUGCUGGAUGGAUCAUUACUAUCGACAGUUGAUAGCAUGAACUCACUAACGGCAGUUGAUGUUACUAAAAACAAUCUACACGGCGAUCUCAACUUCCUUUCUACUGUUUCCAAUUGUAGAAAGCUUUCUACCCUUCAAAUGGACCUGAAUUAUAUCACCGGAAUCCUCCCAGACUAUGUUGGGAACCUGUCGUCACAGCUGAAAUGGUUCACGUUAUCUAACAACAAGUUAACUGGCACGCUUCCAGCUACCAUUUCAAAUUUAACUGCUCUUGAGGUGAUAGAUCUUUCACAUAACCAACUGCGCAAUGCAAUUCCAGAAUCAAUCAUGACGAUUGAGAAUCUCCAAUGGCUUGACCUAAGUGGAAAUAGCUUGUCUGGCUUCAUCCCAUCGAGUACUGCACUUCUAAGGAACAUUGUAAAACUGUUCCUUGAAAGCAACGAAAUUUCUGGCUCCAUACCAAAGGACAUGAGGAACCUCACUAAUCUAGAGCACCUUCUAUUGUCUGAUAACAAAUUAACGUCAACUAUACCACCAAGCUUAUUUCAUCUUGAUAAAAUCGUCAGGCUAGAUCUUUCUCGAAACUUCUUGAGUGGUGCACUGCCGGUUGAUGUAGGGUAUUUGAAGCAAAUUACCAUCAUGGAUCUCUCUGACAACCACUUUUCUGGUAGAAUCCCAUAUUCGACAGGACAACUUCAGAUGUUAACACACCUGAAUCUAUCAGCUAACGGAUUCUAUGAUUCUGUUCCAGACUCUUUUGGUAAUUUAACUGGCUUGCAAACUUUGGACAUAUCCCAUAACAGUAUUUCUGGUACCAUCCCAAACUACUUGGCUAAUUUUACGACCCUUGUUAGCUUGAACCUAUCUUUCAACAAACUACAUGGUCAAAUACCGGAAGGAGGUGUCUUUGCAAACAUCACUUUACAAUACUUGGUGGGGAACUCAGGGCUAUGUGGUGCUGCCCGUUUAGGAUUCCCACCAUGCCAAACCACCUCCCCCAACAGAAAUAAUGGUCAUAUGCUAAAAUACUUGCUACCUACUAUAAUCAUUGUAGUUGGAGUUGUAGCUUGUUGCCUGUAUGUAAUGAUUAGAAAGAAAGCUAACCAUCAAAAUACUUCUGCUGGUAAGCCUGACCUUAUCAGCCAUCAAUUGCUCUCCUAUCAUGAGCUUCGUGCAACCGAUGAUUUCAGUGAUGAUAACAUGUUGGGCUUCGGAAGCUUUGGAAAAGUUUUUAGGGGACAAUUGAGCAACGGUAUGGUGGUUGCCAUAAAAGUUAUACACCAGCAUCUGGAACAUGCCAUGAGAAGCUUUGACACCAAGUGUCACGUGCUCCGAAUGGCUCGACAUCGCAACCUGAUAAAGAUUCUGAACACUUGUUCCAACCUGGACUUUAAAGCACUGGUACUUCAGUACAUGCCCAAGGGUAGCUUAGAAGCACUCCUGCACUCAGAACAAGGGAAGCAAUUAGGCUUUCUCGAGAGGUUGGAUAUUAUGCUAGAUGUGUCAAUGGCAAUGGAAUACCUGCAUCAUGAGCACUAUGAGGUGGUCUUACACUGCGAUUUGAAGCCUAGCAACGUACUAUUUGACGAUGAUAUGACGGCACAUGUGGCAGACUUUGGUAUUGCAAGGUUGUUGUUAGGUGAUGACAACUCCAUGAUCUCAGCUAGCAUGCCAGGAACAGUUGGGUACAUGGCACCAGGUACUUAAUAGUUUUUCUUGUCUUUCUCAAACUUUGCCCGAUCUUUUAUUAUUAUUGAGUAGAUAGGGUGCAACUAAUUUUUGGUAUCUAAUUUUUCUUGAGCAGAGUAUGGGACUCUAGGAAAAGCGUCACGGAAGAGUGAUGUGUUCAGUUACGGCAUCAUGCUGCUUGAAGUGUUCACUGCGAAAAGACCCACAGAUGCUAUGUUUGUGGGAGAACUGAACAUCAGGCAGUGGGUUCAACAGGCGUUUCCUGCAGAGCUUGUCCAUGUGGUGGACUGCCAACUUCUACAGAAUGGUUCUUCUUCUUCUUCAAGUAACAUGCAUGGCUUCCUUGUGCCAGUGUUCGAGCUGGGUUUGCUCUGUUCGGCUCACUCCCCAGAGCAAAGGAUGGCGAUGAGUGAUGUGGUCGUGACACUGAAGAAGAUUAGGAAGGACUAUGUCAAAUUGAUGGCAACCACAGUGAGCGUUGUGCAGCAGUGAUUUUUUGCCGGGUCGGCCGAAGGAACCGGCGACCAAAUUUCAUUAAGAUUGGGAGGGAAAAAAAAUCAAAUACAAGUAGUUCUCGCUUGCAACGACAGGAGGCUGUCGAAUUAGACUGUGGCAGGAACCACAGCCCGGCAAACUAAAGAACUGGAAACGUCAACACAACAGAAAGAAAACUAAGAACUGCAAUUCGCGAAAUAGCCUGCUUCUUUCCACACUAAGAUCUCUUCUUUGAUAGCCUCUGCUAACUGGUUAGGGCUUCUCGAUCUUUGGUCGAAAACACGCGCAUUUCUUUCCUUCCAAAUCUGCCAGCAAAUCAGCAUACAAGCGCUGUCGAAGUUUGUCCUGUAGCACUUCCGAAAACAUGUUCUGGCCUGCAACCACCACUCUGUCAGGCAUGUGUUUUCGCUCCCAGGGAUGGGGAAGUAAGCACUGAUCCAUUGCCGCAUCUGUCUCCACACUGUGAUGGUAUAGUCGCAGUUGAUAAACAGAUGUAAGCAGUUUUCAGGUUCUCGUUGGCACAAAGUACAGCAAUCAGCGUGAGGCCAUCCCCUUUUUUCAAGAUUAUCAGCUGUCAGACAACGUCCUUUUACGGCCAGCUACAUGAAGAAACGUAUUCUUGCCGGUGCCUUCGCUUGCCAGAUUAAUUCGCUGAUUGGGCAGAGUUCUUUUGCCAAGAAGAAUACACUGUAGGCUGAGGAGCAGCUGAAAUGACCAUUGGUGGAUAAUUUCCAUCGGAUUGUGUCUUCUUCGUGACUUAGGUGAAAUCUCUGAAUUUCAUCCCAGAGCUGGAAAUAUUGGGCCAUAGCUUCGUUGGAAAGGGAGCCUUGCAAAUCUCUGACCCAUCUGUGAUUCGAUAGAGCUUGAGCAACUGUGAGAUGUGAUCUGCCUACAUAAGUUGCUAGAAUAGGCCAUCUCCAGGCGAUGCUCCCCCCACCCAGCCAAUUUGCUGUCCAGAACCUGGUGUUCUUCCCAUUACCAACAAUGAACUCUGCUGCAGAUUGAAACAGAGUAUCCACCUCCUUUCCUAGUUGGUAAUCAACCAUUGUCCACGGCCUGUUUUUCUGUUCAAGUUUAAUAGCAUGCCACUUCAGCCGAAGGGCCUGGCCAAAGUAAUCCAGAUUUUUUAUCCCAAGACCACCAUUUUGAACCGGCAUACAUACAUUUUUCCAAGCAACUAGACAAUGGCCUCCACUUACAUCCUCCUGCCCUUUCCAGAGAAAACCUCUACACUUGCGCUCAAUAUCUUUGAUCGCCCAUUUAGGUAGCUGUAACACUGACAUGAGAUGCACAGGGAGGGCCAUUAGAGUGGAUUUGAUGAGGCAAAGCCGGCCGUCAGGUGAUAGCAACCGGGGUUUCCAGCCAGCAAUCUUCUUCGCCAAUCUGUCAAGGAUUGGUUGGAUUUCUGCCUUGGUUGGCUUCCUCAUGGCGAGGGGCAGGCCCAAGUAUGUUAUGGGGAAGUGCUCAACUCUACAUUGCAGGAUUUCUGUUACUACCUCCAGCUGCUGUACGUUACAUUGGAUGGGUGUGAUUGUGCAUUUAGCGAGAUUUGUUUUCAACCCUGUUGUCGCCCCGAACACUUCUAGGAUUCUGCUGAUCACCUGUGCUUCCUGUUGAAUUGGACGGAAGAAGAGGACAGCAUCAUCUGCAUAUACAGAUAUGUUGGGCAAUCUUUUUCUAGCAUUCAGCUCAGAUAACAGAUUUCUUGCCCUUGCUUUCGCCAUCAUUGCCUGAAGCGUGUCCAUAACUAAGACGAAGAGAAGAGGCGAUAGCGGGUCUCCUUGCCUCAAACCUCUUGCAGGCUUUAUUGGGUCAGAUUCACUCCCAUUGAUUAGAAUUCUUGUCUCAGCUGUCAGGAAAAGCGCAGCGAGCCAAGAUCUCCAAAGGGGGCCAAAUCCUCUGAAUUUCAACAUGUCGAGAAGAAAGCACCAGGAGACAGUAUCAAAUGCUUUUGAAAUAUCCAACUUGAACAAAAUCAUCUCUUUGCGCUGGCGGUGGAAUUGUUGCGAUAGACCUUUAACAAAAAUAAAAUUCUCAUGAAUGCAUCUCCCCUUUAUGAAGGCCGUUUGCGUGUGUGGCACUAGCUCCUCCAUCCUUGGAGCCAACCUUUGCGCCAUAAUUUUGGUUGCAAGCUUUGAGAAACUGUGGAUUAGACUGAUUGGCCUGAAGUCCUUCAACAACGUGGGGGCCUCUUUUUUGGGGAUGAGAGUGAUUAUUGCCGAGUUCAGCAUUUCUAGGUUUUGGGUGUUCCCUUCACAAAAUUUCUUUAGUGCUGCAAGAAGAUCCUCUUUGAUCACUCCCCAACAUUUUUGGUAGAAAAGGGCGGUGUAGCCAUCUGGACCUGGGGAUUUCUCGCAGUGAUUCAUCGCUCUCUCGUGGUAUAUGAGAGAAUGAAAUAUAUAUAUCCUUUGCAUCCAUUUCUUCUUCUGUAUUAGGUAGCAUCAGUGUAUACCCAGUGAUCAAUUACCCUUUGCUUCUAUGUGUUUACGGUUGAAUUGAAUAUAUCUAUGGUGCUUCAGGUUCUGCAACAAUUUAUAGUUGGUGUAAAAAUGUGAUUGAACUGCUGGUCAAUAAAUUUCCAUCAUGAAAAUGAAAGUAGAUGAUGUGCUCCUUGUAUUUUCUUAUUUCUGGCUGAAACAAAAAAAAAAAGGAAUAUUCUGACCUGAAAAAGGAAUGUGGUUUGCUUGUAAACAUUGGGCCUUUGUCGUGGACUUCUCUGGUAGCCUGACAUGCUUUAUAGCCCAUGGGCCUAUGUUUGUAAUGGGCUUUUGUUUCAUUCGAAUGACUCAACGUACAUUUAGGCCUGUUUGAACAAUGGAAUAUUUUGUAGAGGUGGACACUAAACGACGACAUAGGUAAAAUGAUAUAGAAACAAAAUUAAUUGAAACGAUAUGCUCAUGCAAUAAAUUUGAGAAACGGUCAUUAAUGAAACCUCACACACGUCAUUAAUGCAUAAUAAUGGAGGUAAUUUACUAAUGAAUCAUCCAAGAUUUGCUCUUGUGACUCUAUAUAAACAGCUGCAAAAUGAAGCUAGGGGCCAGGUAGUAGCCAGCAUAUGCAGUAGCUUCCUUGUCAAAAGGAUCUCCUCUCAUCUCAUCUCAUCAUGGCGCAAAUUCUCAACAAGAAGGCUGCAGCAGUGUUCUUCUUCACAUCUCUUAUGGUGAUGGCCACCGUAAAUUUCUCAUCCGGUCAUACUACACAAGGUAUACAUAUAUAUAUAUAUACACCUCUCGAUUGAUCACAUCCAAAUGCAAAAACAGUUUAAUUUGUUCUCUUUUGCAUGAAAUGAUUAGUGAUCAAUGAUGCUGGAAUAAUCUGAUAUAUAGCCUGACAAGUAUAUAUGCAUUUUACAUUUUCUGUAUGAACUAUUUCGGCUCUCUGUAAAAGUCGGGGUCAUUAACAAUAUAAUGAUUUUUCCUCUAAAAAUAUGUAUUUUACAUGUGCAUAUAUAUAUAUAGGUGGAUAUGGAGAAAUGGAUUCGUGCAUGGUCCUUGUAAAUUGCGAUAUGAACAAGUGCAUGAGUGACUGCCAAAUCAAGGGGUUCAACGGAGGCCUGUGCGACGGCGAGUCGAACGACCACUGCUGCUGUACUGAUGAGGCCCGCACAAAUAAUAGAUUUCUCUUGUCCAAAUCAACAACGACGGUUGUAUAAUCAACGGCAAUCUUAUUAUUGAUUGAUGAAGCAGAGAUUCGAUAGUAAACUCUUGCAGUUGAUGCUUAAUUGUACCGAUUCACUCAGUAGCAAAAAUUAAUUAAUGAUGAUGAGGUUGGCAUGCCUUGGCUCCUCUAGUGUUGGUCCAUGUACAUAUGAAAAGGUAGCAAUCAGUCGGGGUUUGACUUAAAACAUGCGUGUUUAAAACGACAUGCUCUGUACCUUAGGUGGUGUUUGGAUCUAGAGACUAAAAUUUAGUCCCUAUCACAUCGGAUGUUUGAACACUAAUUUGAAGUAUUAAACAUAGAUUAUUUAAAAAAAUUAAUUACACAGAUAGAGACUAAUUUGCGAGAUGAAUCUAUUAAGACUAAUUAAUCCAUGAUUAGCACACAUUUAUUGUACCACUAUAUUGUCAAAUCAUGGCAUAAUUAGGCUUAAUAGAUUCGUCUCGCAAAUUAGCCUCUAUCUGUGUAAUUAGUUUUGUAAGUAGUCUAUGUUUAAUACUUCAAAUUAGUGUUCAAACAUUCAAUGUGACAGGGAUUAAAGUUUACUCCCUGGAUCCAAACACCACCUAAGUUAAGGUAACAAAUCAAUAUUACUACGAGAAGUACUGAUGCAAGUGGGACGAACAAACGGUUUUUUUAUUCUACUUCUAGUUUAUUUUAUAUGCUUACUGUCAUGCAUAUCAUAUCAUUAUAUACUUUCAUGUUAUACUAAUUUUGUAGUUAUUGAUAACAUUACAAAGAAAUUAGAUCAAAGUAUAGUUUUCGAAAAAAAACUAAGAUGCUCUUUAUUUGUAGUAGAAAGUAAUCUAGUUUCACAUUCGAAAAAAACUCAGGACCAUCGUUUCGAAUAAGCGAAACGAUAUAUUUGCAAACGAAAAAUAAUUUAUAAAUAAAACUUUUAUUUAUAUGUGUGUCAUAGCGAUGUAAAAGCAAAGACUGAAAAAUAAACUACGAUAAAAAAACCCUCAAAAUCAACUCCAAAUUUAAGUUGAAAAUCCGGUUCUACCCUUCCACCUGCUCAAUUCAUGCAGACAGAGAAGAGGUACCAUCGCACAGGAUUUACGGUACCUCACGAUACCGACGAUUUUCAGCCAUUAGAUCUGUCCCAUUGGACGCAUUUGGUACCGCCUCCACCUGCUGGACGGUAAAAAUUCUCUUCAUUUAUAUGUCGAUACAGUACUUUAGGCUCGAAUGAGUCUUACUUGAGAAUAAUUGUGGCUAGUAGCUAGUGAGAUAGUGUCCACAUAUAAUAGAUAAACAAAAUGCACUCAAAUGCUAAUUUUAUAUUGCUCCUGUAAAAGAGAAAUAAUCCUUCCUGAUGCUCUUGAGCUUCACGACCACAUCACUUAUUCCCAUCCGUUCUGCAGGUGAGCUACUGCAACACAUCAAGCCAAGCUCGAAAAUUGGCAAAAGAAGGCCUUCAUUUGGCCAGGUAGCAGAACGCGGCAAGGAGGUAGCAUUGUUCUGACGAACACCUUGUUCUAUUAAUGUUUCAGCCUGUAGAAGCCUACCAUCCACAAUAUCUGCGAGCCUGGCUGGAAAUGCUUCAGAAACCCACUUCCUAAGGCUCAUGUCACCAACAAACAUGGCAUCCGUAGGCCUCUUCCCGGUGAAGACUUCGAGCAACAUGAUCCCAUAGCUGAACACAUCGCUCUUUCGUGAUGCUUUUCCCAUAAAUGCAUAUUCUGUUCAAUGAAUGAUUUUUAAAAGAAAGAAAGAGAUAAACUAAAUUAAGUCUCUUACAUAACUCAAAUGGUAAAGCAAAAUUCUCAUGAAUAGUAAGUGCAAGUACCUGGAGCCAUGUAUCCUAUUGUCCCGGGCAUGCUGGCUGAAACUGCAGAGUUGUCAUCACCUAACAGUAAUUUUGCAAUGCCAAAGUCCGCCACAUGUGCCGUGAUUUCCUCAUCAAACAGCACAUUGCUAGGCUUGAGGUCACAGUGCAAAACAACUUCAGAAUGAUGAUAGUGAAGGUGCUCCAUUGCCAUUGAUACGUCCAGCAUAAUGUCAAGUCUCUUUAGGAAUCCUAGUGGAGGGUGCCCUUGCUUGUGCAGGUAUGUCUCCAAGCUGCCAUUGGGCAUGUACUGAAGCAGCAGUGCUCUGAAGUCUGUGUUGGAGCAUAUGUUUAGUAUCCUUAUCAAGUUGCGAUGCUGAACCAUGCGUAGAACCUGGCACUCAACAUCAAAGCUUCUCAUAGCUUGUUCUACCUGCAUGUUUAGAACUUUAACCGCAACCACCAUUCCAUCAUCCAAAUGACCCUUGUAAACCUUGCCAAAACUUCCAGCUCCCAACAUAUUAUCCUCAUUGAAACUUUCCGUGGCACGAACAAUCUCUUGAUAUGAUACUAACCUAUAAGAAGUAGGUGUAGUAGUAUCUAGCUUCCUUUUAAUCUUCUUUCUAGUCAUUUGGUACAAACAAAGAGCAAGUGCGCCAACUGCUAUUGUGAUGGCAGGGAGUAUAAACUUCAGGUAGUGGCUACCAUUAGUUGAGUGUGACUUGUCUAGGCAUGGUAAAAAUCCUAGACGAGGAAGACCACACAAGGCAGCAUUGCCCAUCAAAGAUAUCAAGGUUAUAUUUGAGAAAACACCACCAUUUGGUAUUUCGCCUUUUAGGUUGUUAGAAGAGAGGUUCAGAGUAGUGAGGUAGGUAAAGUUUGCUAAGUACUUAGGUAUAGUGCCUGAAAGAUUGUUAUAAGAAAGGUCCAAUACUUCUAAGCUGGUCAGAUGGCUAAUAGAGUUCGGGAUUGAAUCUGUGAAUGAGUUGUGAGACAGGUUUAGGUAGGCUAACAUCUGAUGGUAUCCAAAUGAAUUUGGGAGCUGACCAACUAAUAAAUUGUCUGAAGUAUCUAGGGCAAACAUAUCUUGGAUGUGGCUGAGAUCAGAUGGUAAUGUACCAUUGAGGUUAUUAUUGGAGAGAAAGAGCUGCACGAUACCAAGAUAAAAUAAACUUGUUGGGAUAGUCGAUGACAACUUGUUAUCAGAUAGAGAAAUGUAUUGUAGCAUGGUGAGAUUACCAAUGCUAUCAGGUAUGGAACCUGAGAGCUUAUUAUCGGUCAGGUACAACCAUACAAAUCUUGCCGUACCAAUCUCUUCAGUGAUAGGACCAGAUAUUCCAUUCGAGGUAAG
rnacentral:lncRNA from 1 species